GGGGGUCUGGUUUUAUAGUCCCCUCAAGUGAACCUGGGCCGUCAGAUCAAACCGACAUAGAUUGAACGGUUAUCCUUGAUCCUUUAGCUCGGUGGAGAUCUCCCGAGAAACAGAGUCCUGAUUGGACUCCAAGUCAGGGCGGGCGCCCAGGGCAGGAGGGCGGGCGCCCUGCCUCAGGCCCCGUUCGGCCUCCGCUUUCUUCCCGUGGCUUCUGGAGUCUUCUAGAUGUAAGAUAAUUGCGCGGCACGUUAAUAUCUUUAUGUAAUCCUGACGUGUGGGCCUUUCUUCCAUAUUUCCUGAUAACCCCCUGCAGAAAUAGACAAACACCAAAACUCGUGGAAUUCUGUCAGAUAAAACCCUAAGUCUAGAUGUUGAUUUCAUUUGGAUCCUUUUCUUUGUUUAUUUGAUAAUUAAAUUUGAUACUUAAGGACCGUCAACAAACUCCCCCAAGCUUAACUCUUGCUCGUCCCUGAGCAAGGAUAAUCUCAGCGAUGGAUCAGAAGUUGUUGCAAUAUCUUAAAAAUUUGACGGUACACAUGCUUUUAAAUAAGAUCUCAUCUCUGAGUUAGAGUAAACUGUCAAGAACUAAAACUUACUUACUUUACCUUUCACCAUGGGACUUGUAACCGUCACUUCUGUCUUGAGUAGUUAAAAGAUAGAACAGUCUAGCCAAGUGCCAUGUCUCUUAUUCUUGAUUAGCUAUAGCUCUGGAGUUUUUGCAGAUUUUCAAAUAAAACUCAGAGAUUCCUUGUAUGACUCUCUAAAUCUCUCUUUUGUGGUAUUUCUGGAUCCUUACCAAGGCAGUGAUAGUAUAUGCCUUCUCUCAAGAUAUGUGGUAUUUGUGGUAUAAGGCAUAGUGACAUUGCCUUCUCUCUCACCCUACUCUAAUAAGGCUUUAAUAUCUGGAGCUCAUAGGUGGGAGAUAAAAUAUACAUACUUACAAGACAUUUAUUGUAUAGUCAAACCAUGGAUCCAAAGAAACAAAUCAUUAAGCCAAAUCAAGAUGUGCAUGUGUGGCGAUUGAAUGGUGUAUGGUGAUGAUGGUGGUAAUGGUGGAAGUCUAAUUCUACCUUGCUCUUUCAAGGGGAUACAUACCUUUCUUGCUUUUUGAAACUUUGUGAGGAGAAUGAGAUGCUCUUCUUUUUCAUUUCUCUUAGAUGGGUAUCUUGUACCUCUAAUUCUACUGUCGGACACUUGUCCAUUUUUACCUCUCGUCUCACUUUUCCUUUCCUUUCGAGGUUCCGAGCACUUGUCCCUUUUUAUUUCCUCGUAUCUUUCUUUUUUUUCUUUUUUUUUUCAAAGCACUCAUCUCUUGAGAUAAUAUAGCAAGUGGUAGUAACAAGAUAACUUGAGCAUUUAUUUCAUAGGGAAAAACAUAGAUGUUUUUGGCUAUUCUCUCCCGAAUUAGGAGUAGAAUAUUUUUUAGGUGAUUCUGGAGAUGGAAAUGGAUGGAUAUAUGUGGAUGGUACUUCCGGAGUAGAAGUAGCAUAUAUGAGUGAACGUGCAAGUGAAUCUUGAUUUAACCACAUGACAAGCUCCUAAGGGUCUACACAGCUUGACCGCACUCAAUGCUCAUAAGCAGUAAAUAGUAAAUGUGUGGCUCAAAGUCUAGCAAGCAUGUAUAUAUGGCUGUGGUAGGAAUUUAAACUCUCAUCAUACAGGAACUCAUCAUGCAAUAUUUUAAAGAUUUUUCAAAGAUAAAAUUCUCUAGAAUUCUAGCAUCUCUAGGAACAGAUAAACAGCAGCUCAACCUUCCCAUAUCAUAUUCGUUAACAACUUAGACUUCAGAUCAAGUUUUCAUCCCACAAGUUUAGGUCUAGAGCAAGCUUUAAAUUAUAACAGUUAUGUCUAAACUUGAGAGAGAACUUCAAAUUUUAAAAUUUAGGCAGAGCAACUAUUCAUCAUAUCCAUGCUAGAGUUUUAUUAUUAAGAUUCAGAUUAGCAUAGCCACUUUAUUUAUUUAUUAAACAUACUAAGCAAAAGAUAUAUAUAUAUAUAUAUAUAAACACAAAAUCUUUAUUUAGUUUUUCAUAGUUAUGUAUAUCUAUAUUUUAAUACAGUAUAAGUGUAAAGAUAGAUAGAUAGAAAUACUUAUCGGGAUAAAUGGGGGUGCUCUCCCCCAAGCUGAAUUUUGACGUAAUUUCCCUUGAUGUAGCUAGCAGGUGGCAGAGGUGUAUUUGAGAGUCAGCAGCAUUCUGACAGCGAUUAGAAUGUCCUCCGUCUGCUAGUCUUCUUAAAUCUUGUGGAGCUCAAAUAGACAACAAAGCUUGUGAAACUGAUUAAGUGUUAGCAUAAAUAUCUAGCCUUUAUCAUGUUGAGACUCCUUAACAAUUAUUACUCUCUAUUUUUUUAUAUUUUCGUUUUAUAAAGCAGAAAAGAAAUAUUUAUUUUAUUUUUAUGCCACCACAGUGAAGGUACCUAUGGGUUUUAUGCCACGAGCAUACUCAUAUGGGGCUUACUAACAUUUUUAUUUUCUUUCAAGAUAGCAUGAUUAACUAAUAAGCUAUUUAAGGAAAGUAGGUAAUUAAAGGGAAAAGGGAAUGCAGAAAGGAUAAAUAUGGAUAACUACUGAUUUUACCUUUCGGCGAGGGUUCAACGUUUUAAGUCUUCUGAACAAGACUUCUCACCGUGUUCAUUCUUCAGGUGCGUCAUUUGAUUCAGGUGCGGACCUUGACGUCUGCACCUCUUGGUACGGUGUCACCCAUGUUCUUCGUUUGCCCAGCAGUUCGAAGUGCGGCGUUGGCAGCAUCCUGCUUAGUGUGUUUGUGCUCGUAGUGUACCUGCUCAUAGAGACAAGGCAGAGAUCAAGUGCAUGGGCCCUGUUGGUGGAAAACACCAACAGAACCAAAAGUGUAUUUGUUCUUCUCUAACCUUAAGCAUGGUGAGCAAGACAAAGUUGAUGAAUGAUAAGUCCAUGAGUGUAGCAUUUAUAACAUUUGUCAGAUCAGAUCGCUUCAACCUUAUGGAAAGAUAAUCUAUCUAUGUAUAUGUCUUUUUCUUUAUAUCUCUCAAAGAUUGAAUGUGUAACAUUUUAGCUCAUAUGAUUAGGAGUGUGGGUUCAUGGAGGUAGUACUAGGAACAAGGAUUAAAGGACUAAACAUGCUGAAUCAGUUGGGUUAGUUAAUUUGGAGUUAUAAAUCAUACAUGUUUGUCUCUUUAUUUAUGUGAACGCUAGAACCAAGGAGAAGCUUAUAAAAGUGAUAGUCACAUAUCUUAAGAUGUUACCUUAAUUGAAGAGUGAUGGUACCAUCUCACCUUGUGGAAGCUUCCCAUUCGUAGUGGUUGUGUAUCUUGUUUAUGUACUUUGUCUCCUUCCAUGGAUCAUCGCUCUAUGAUGAAUGAGCUAUGUCCUUCUUGUGCAAAUUGUUAAACUUCAUGUGUCACUCUCUUCAUCUCUGAUGUGAGUUUAUCUCAGGACUUCCCAGGUUGAUAGUGAAAGUUUUCCUGCAGGGGUUAGUCCGACAAAAUAUACCAAUAUCUACUCAAGCAAUUUUUAGUUCAGUAACCAAACUAGACUCCAUGUCUAAUCACAUUAAGGAAGGCUAUUUAACCUAAGCACCAUGCUUAAUUUAAAUGCCAAUGGAAGUAUGGCGAGUACUUCCAAACCAACACUUGCUAGUAAAUAGACAAAGGUAGCAUGACAGCAUUUAUAGUGAUCUACUCAAGUGGAGAUGAAGUAGUGUGAUUAGUAUUUAACAAAUUGAGCAUGUCUCAAAGGUAGGGACAACCAUCACGGCAAAGGAUGUUUUUAUGUAAAGUACUCCCCCAAGCUUGAAUUUUGCAAAAUUCAAGUUUGGAUGAAUUUAAUUCAAUGUUGUAUGAUGAUUGGUUGGACAUACCUUGUGCUUGUCAUUCAUCCGAUCUUCUUGCUCUAAUCCUAGAAAGGUUAGUGAUAAGAAAACCCAAAGGAAUUUUUUUUACAAUUAUCCUUAUAUGCUCAAUACACCAGGUAAUGUUGUAAAUAAUUAAAAGCUCAUGUUAUGAUCUGAUCAGUGCUUAUUUUAAGACACUAAGCUUGUCCUUGGGAAACCAUCAAUUUAUGUCGGCGAAGUGGUUUCCCUUCCAACACUGAUCUAUAUCAAGAUCAACUCAACGAGAUCUGCAAUAUUUAUUAUAGACAUAUGCAUCGACAACCGCCCUUUUAAAGUUUUUGUAAAUAGAAAGGAAGAGGGGGUUGGAGAUCUCAAAUGUGGUAAUGUUGGAGAGACCAAUAGAUUGGGAAGAUGUUUCAUAUGAGCAUAGAGUAAAUGAAGUGGUUAUGAAAUAAAUUCUAUGCUCAUUAAUGUUAUCUUCGUCUCCAAUCUGAAUGUUCGGAGUUUCUCCUAGAUUGGUCUCACCUAUGUCCUCUUCUGUAGUUGGAUGAAUCCCAUCUUCAAAGGGAGUCAAGAACUCACCAUUUGAAAUUGAACCAAAGUCAGAAUUCAUUAAGGCUUCUACCUUAUCCAUCCAUUCUACACAUUCUAGCCAUUUAGAACUUGUGAUCAGGAAAGGGGAGGUGUUAGAAUUUUCAAUAUGGCUUAGCUCUCCUUCACUUGAUAUGUCAUCCUCGACUUCUUCAUAACAGGAACCAGGACAUUCUCUAAGAGAACCAUUAUUGCGAGGAUUUGAAUUAUCCCUGCUUGAAGGUCUCUUAUGGAACCAGAAGUCUAAACCAUCAGCAUCUGAAAGAUUUAAGGUCGGAAUUCCUUCCUCCCUUGGAGAAUUUUGGGGUAUUGAUGGUUUAGGAUUGAUAGCUAAAGUUUGGAAUUGAAGUGGUUGUGAUCUGGCUAUCGAAACUUCUUCUUCUUGUCUAGGAACUAGUUCUGUCUCUUUCUCAGGGAUAUAAAAGCUAGGAGACUUUCCACUUAAUAAAUCAAUCAAAUUCCAAGCUUCCUAGCAGGUAGGUGAUAGAAGGAUCCUCUAGAGGCUGUAUUCAAGGUUUGCUUAUUUUCCCUACUAAGGCCCUCAAAAAAGUGAAUUAAAAGAACUUCUGGAAUAGAAAGCUUUGGGCCAGUGAGAGUAAGGUUAAUGAAGCAGUCCCAUGAUUUGCUAAGAGUUUCUUCUUCCAAUUGUCUAAAAGAAAUAAUCUCACGCCGAAGUUCCGCCACUUUAGAGAUUGGAAAAUAUUUUAAAAGAAAACUAUUAUGUAACUCCUUCCAAUCUCCAUGAACACUCCCUACUUUGAGUUUAUACCAAUGUCUAGCUUUUCCUGUUAAAGAGAACGGAAAGAGCUUCCAUUUAAGGGUCUCAUCGGACAUGCCUUCUAUGCGAAGGAGGUCACAGACUCUAUAAAACUCUCUUAGGUGUGUGUAUGGGCUUUCCUCACCUUCUCCUGAGAAAGGUUGUUUUUGAACAAAUUCUAUGUAUUCAGGGUCUAUCUCAAAGCUAGAUGCUAUGAUAGGCUUUGAAGAUUUUGGUGGUUCGAGAUGUGUGCCCGUAGGUCUAUGAAAUUCAUAGAUAGACAUGUUUGAAUUCAUGAUAGACCAGAGAUCAAGGAUUAGAUAAGAAGAAAGAUUAGCAGAGAUGAGGCAAAGGAUAAAAGGAAUAUAUAUAUAUAUAUAUAUAUAUAUAUAUAUAUAUAUAGAAAAUGAUUAAGCUAGUUCGUAGUCAACUCAGCAACCGUUUCCCCGGCAACGGCGCCAAAAAUUCUUGAUGACACUUGCUAACACCACUUGAAUACUAGGUUGUCAUCUCCAGCAUGGUACUAGAGUGUACUAUGGUAUUUAUACGCACACAGAUAAUCCGCAAGCGCACGGAUACCGUUGAAGCUGUUACCCGGUUAAAGGUUUUAUCUUAUCCACAGGGAAACGGGAGAACCAACUACGCUCUAACUUAACUAAGAUAAGUAAAUAGGUGUAAAUAGGAAAGAUGGUAGAAUCGAAUAAGAACAAUAUUAAAGGUAAGAUAACAGUGAGUGAUAAUAUGGGAAUAGAGAGUAGAGCAAUCUAGUAUAUGGGCGAUGGUAGCAGAAUAGAGAGGAUAACUAUGGUUUCUCUACUUCAAAGGGGUAUGUCUAUGAUGAGGACAUCCCAACCAAACAUGCUCCCUCUAAUUCCACGCCAACCUCUACACCGACUACGCCGGCACCAGCCCAUGUCAUCAAUGGACCGAUUACACGUAGUCGUGCAAAGAAGCUACAACAAGAGGUCCACGCGCUACUUUGUGAGAUUCAUUUUAACAUUAAUAAGAAUUAUAUACUAUCUAAGUGUUGUACCUUGGUUGUACUCAGGUAUAUAGAAGAAGAGAAGGAUAAAUCGGACCCUGAAGAACGGACCAGUGCAAGUUCCAGAAGAAGUCAAAAACAGACUAGUGGAAGUCAAAAACGGACCAGUGAAAGAAAUCUUCAUAACUUUUUACUCACAAAAGCUAUGAAGGUCCAUGAGCACUUGUUGGAAAGCUUGAUGAGUCUACUUUCCAAUGAGUCUAGUGGCGACCAGUUUGGAUACUCCAUAUUUCCUGCAGGCCAGAAUUAGUACAGACUACUCAGAAGGUCAACAGUCUGUCGUGAAAGAAUGUUGGUACAACUUGCCAAGUGAAACUGUACCAAUCUACAGCAUUUCAUGGUGCAUGGAAUACAUUGAUGGAAAGCUCUUGGAGUUUAGUUUCACACCCAAGAAACGGUUCAUCAUUUGGACUUCCCAAUAAAAAGUUAUGAUCAGUUUAUUGGAAACUGCUCUAGAGGCCAACAGUCACGCGAAGCCACUUCGGGAAUCCAUUUCGAGGGGACCUUUCACAUUACCUUCCCUCAGAAACUCUAUUUCGUUUUCAUACCUAUCUAGCAGGGCUGUUGCUAGUAUAAAUACCCCCUAAGACUGUAACAUCCCUGAUGUUACUAAUACUAAAAACGGAUCAUGUCAUCAUAAGCAUUGCAAAGCAUAUUUGUUAAGCACAUUGUUAUUUAUUUUGAUUGCUUGUGUUUAGGGAAGUAGAGUGUGCUUAUGUUGUGUGUUGAUGCUUGCUAAAACCCUAGGGUGGAAGUUUUCCGAAGGCUUAGGGGGGGAAAAACCCUGAUUUCUGGACCCUAGAAUUGCCCCUUUUUGUGCAGUUCAAAAACUAAGCAAAAUUUGAGGUUGAGUUCAAAAGCAAAGUUGUAGGUCUUGUCAAGAUGUACAACUUUGGUGUUUUGAGUUUUUGAAGUUUCAAUACAAAAUUCAAAGUAAUUUUGAAAACACAGAUUUCCAGAAAAUGUCCCCUUUUCCAACUUAAACCCCCAAUUCAAAAUCCAUUUGGAAUUUUGAAAAGUGGUCAACAUGAAAGUUGUAGAGCACAGAAAGUUGAACAACUUUCAUGUUGGGAGUUUUUCAAGUUGUUUGGAAAAAUCAAAAGUAAUUUUAGAAUUUCUAUUCUGUCCCAAUUCAAACCAGAAUUGCCCCCAAAUUGAAUUUUUGAAUUUCAAACUGUUUCCCCUAAAUUCAUGCCCUUACACUCAAAAUCAGUUCUGGACUCUUAAAUAAGUUUUGUAGCUUAUAAAAUUUGGAACAACUUUUGUUUUGACACAAACUUGGCUCCAGUUCAAAUUUCGGCUGAAUUUCACAAAAGUCAGAAAAGGAGGGAUAAGGGUCUGCUACAGUGAUCCGAUAUGGAUCACCGGCUCCCUGUCCAGCGCAGCCGCCGCGCGAGCAGCGCCGCACGCAUGCGUGCGUGCACGCAGCUGCUUGCUGCCAGGGUCGCCAGGCGACGUGGAUGCCUCGGGCUUGCUUUCCCCUCCACUUGAGCGCAGCGUGGACGACGCCAUGCGUUUCCUCCGUUCUGAGCCAAAGAAGCCGACGAGCCUUUCUCUCCCAAAUUCACCAUAUCCAUUCCUUCCCAAGCCAAAUUGAGCAACCCAGAGUCUUCGUCACCUUCGUGCGAACCCAGUGCACCCCCAAGCUCCCUCUCUAACCCCCUCGAACGCCAGAGCUCCUCCCUCUUCUCCAACUCCGGCCGAGACCGCCGCCGCGGAGCUCUUCCCGUGGCCACGGUGUUACAGUGAGUAUCACACCCCGCUGGCGACUGUUUCACGUUCCUUCCGUGCCCCGGUUGCUCAUGCGCUCGCUCCCUCUCCUUGAUUGUGAGCAGGAUUGCCAGAACGAGCUUGCCGGAGCCAGAGCUCCCGCCCGACGACACUGCCUCCGUCGCCAGCGGCUUCAGCUGCUUCCCCGAGACUCGCAGCGUGAGCACCAUCCUCCCCAACCCCUGUGGAAGCUCGCUAGGCCGUCGGCUUGCACUCUACCGGGUCCCGGUGGCCGGCCGAUAGUCGGCCAUGGCGGCCGUCCGCCGGUGACACGGUUGCGAUAGAAAGAAGGCGGUAGAGCGCGAGUGAGCGGUAGAGAUCGGUCCGCGGAAGAGAGGCGGAGCCGAUGCGCACACGCGUGGGGGCCGAGGACCUCGCUAACGGCCACCGGAGCUGCGGCAGUGCCGUCGCGCGUGAAGGGGACGAAGCUGACAGGUGGGGUCGUCCUGUCAGCGUCUCGCAGGAGGGGGAGGGAGCCUGACGAGCAGGGCCCGCUCGUCAGCGACCACGCAGAGAGGGGGCAGCGCGCGCCGCGUCCGCGUGGACCGAGCCCUCGGGCCGACUUGGGCCGGGUCCAAAUAAAUUUUAAUAAUUUAUUUGUAUGUUCAAAAAUCACCAAAAUUGGUGGAGAGCCUCUGAACAUUAUUCCCUGGCUCCACACAAAAUUUGGUGGCAUUUGGAUAAUAUUUGAAUAAAAUAUAAAUAAACCCUUAUUUAAUAAUUAAAUAAUAAUUCCAAAAUAAUUAGAUAGUGAUUAGUUAAAUCCUCAUAAUUAGGGUUGAGUGAUUUUGGGAUUGUGUGAUGACCUGAGGUCAUUAACCCUAAUGACCUUUGCCAUUUAAUUAUUGGUUGGCCUUAAUGCUUAAUUACUGUCAUUAGUAGUUAAUUAAGAUUUAAUUAAGGUAAAUAGGAUUAAUGAUUAGUUAAUUUAAGAUAAUUAUGAAUUAGGAAAAGUCUUAAUUUGCAGAUGCAACCUCUUGGGUAAAGACACUAAGAUGUUAAGCAACUUUAUUUAUUGGUUAUUCUGUAUUGCACCGAGAAGGCAAGUUGUACUCGACUUGAUCCUUCUUGCAUAAUUGUCAUACGCAUAUCAUGAGCAUUCAUCAUUUUGCGUAUAGUAUCCGUGACCGAAGGAGCGCCCGUUGAACCAAACCCCGAGGUCGGUGCUCCGUUCGAAGAAGUCGGAUCCGAGACUUGGGAAGUCUCCGAGGGUCCCUCUCUGCCCUGCAACCAAGGCAAGCCCCGGAUGCAUUAACCCCUCCUUGAAUGUUUUAAAUCUUUUAUCACUUAUGAAUUGAAAAUGCUGCAUUAGGAAGUUGAGAAUUGGGUUAACCUACUUGCUACAUUUACUACCUUGAUAUCUGUUAUCCUGUCCUUGACACCUGUUUUAUUUUAAAACUGCGUAGCGAUGCUUAGCCCUGCUACUAGAUAGGUUUUCAACAAGAAAGUUUGAAGGGUUGUUGUGGAAUACAUUUAUGAUCAAUGAUGUUUUAAUCUGAGACCGGUCGGUGGACUUGCUUUAAGAAUGGAGUCUUAAAGUAGUGUCUCCAACUGUGUCGAUUAAGGACCGGUCCGUUGAUGGCCCGCUGGGUUGAGAAUUUAUAGUACUGGCCACUUGCCUUCGGUAAGCCCGGUCUUGUGAUCCCUCGACGCGAACAGCUACUCGCGCACUGGGAGUGGAAAGAUGGCGAGAGUAGUGUGUACCCGCCUUACGGAUCUGAGAUGACCGGAAAACAUCUAGAUCGGCUGUAGGAUGGUGGAGUAUUGUGCUCUCGGGUGCCGCGAACCUGGUCAAAUUUGGGGAGAGCUUGAUUUGGGUUGACAUAUGCAAGUUUUGGUUCUACAUAUGUCGGGUGGUUAGGAACUCCAGCUGGAUCGUCGUUGCUCCCCGAUUGGGAGACUCAAUCCACUGCCCCUCAUCGUAGUUAAAUAUGCAACUAAGUUGUAAAAUGAAAAAGGGGGAAAUGUCUCAUGAGGUUCGGAUCCCAAUUCCCGGACUCAUAGCGACAUGAAGCUAUGGCCAUCGAAUGAAUAAUACUUUAUUUUAGGACUAGAAACUCACAGACUUAUCUGUGGGGAAACAACUAGGUAGACUGUCCUCGAACUCCUCGGCCUCGACGGGGGAGGAAUUCGUAGGUAAAACUUGAAAGUAAGGAUGCACUAUUAGUAAGCUUUAUAGCAAAACACUUUGGCUCCUUGCUCAACCACUCCUUGUCUACCCUAAGCCUGCAUUCCUAAGUUCUCCUCUUUUCCGCCGGGUAAGUCUUGUUGAGUACCCCCGUACUCAGGGUUCCAAUACCCCUGUUGCAGGUGAAGCACAGGAGCCGACUUGUUUCGGACCUUGUUGUGUGACCGUCGUCGAGGUUGACGACGAAGAAGAGUGAGCGUGACCCAUGGGCAGGGUCUGUAAAUUUGUACUCUCUGUCCUAAAGUUUAAGUUGCUCCGCUGGACCUGGCUUGUAAUAACACUCUGCAAUUUGGAAGAACUCCUUUUGUAAAAUAAGUUAUGUAAUACUUCCGCUGUUUUACUCUGAAAUAUUAUGUUGGUCGUAUGUCGUUUGUGGUACUGCAAUGUCUUCGCAACGAAUGAUCCUGGUGAUAAGGUGGCCACUUGCUGUCCUGUAAGGGCGAGAAGAAGAAGUUCUCGUUAAUUGACCAUCACCAGUGGUGAGGACGAGCCGGCUUGGCACGCCACAGGUAGCAGUGGAAUGAGCAUCCAGCGAUGCUCAUCGGACUUCUAAAGUGGGAGGAUCCCCGGCAUCGCCGUCAGAGGUCCUUAGGACAAUGACAGGUGCCGGUGGGCCCAAACACUUAGGGGGUUCUGCCACAGCUGGUAUCAGAGCAUUCGUUGCUAAGAUGGCUGCUGUACCCAUUGAAAAACUUCAAAAAUUCGUUUGGAUCUAAUACUAUGAACCUGCCUAUUUUGAGUCCAAGUGCUUAGUCCUAACCUACCCCUGCCUAUAGGCUUUCUUAGAAUUUUAAAAGUGGUAUGGAGGAGCAACAUAAAGUAUUGCCCUAUGUUGUAAAAAUUUAAAGUAAUAUCGUUACGAAUUGUUAGUAGGAAUCGUAAGUUCGUGCAUGCAUCAUGAUGUAUUAACUGGUUAAGUUCCUUCCUCCUUGUUUGGGUUGGGUGAAUAGAAUCCAUCCUAUUCUUGCUAACCUUUAAGGUCUCUCUUACUAAUCUAAACUUACCCUCUACAGGAUGGCUCGUCAGAAGCAGACCCCGCGUAAGAGGACAGGCCCAAAAGGACUUCCCCGACAUCAGUUGGCUCCACGCAGUGAUCAAGCCAGCAGUAGUCGUUCACCGCCUCAGCAGGAGGUGGACAGGUUGUCCGCCGAGUUGACUGAGGUGAUGAGAGAAAGAAUGUACAAUGUUAUGUAGAUCGGCAAACUUAAAGCUCAACUAGCCAAAGAAAAACAAGCUACAGAGAACUGUGAGGCUAUGUUGUCCCGGAUGGUGGAGGAGAGGAAUGCCGCCAUUGCCCGAGAGGAAGAAGCUAGGAGCACACACAGGCAUGAGCUGACUAGGAUGAAUGCAAAGCUGGGCAAGGCCAGGUAUCUUAAGGAUUUGUACGUGAAGAUGGCGGCCACGGUCACCGCGCAGCGGGAUGUCGCGUGGCAGCGAGAGGACCAGCUCCAGUUGGAGAAGCUGGAGCUGGCACAUCACUUAGAUAUCGUUAAUGACUUGGCAAUGCAGUAUCGUGAUAUUGCAUUUGAUCUGUAUCAUCAGCUCCACCCACCUCCAGGCGAAGGAGAAAUGGAUACGGAUGGCGAGUUGGCAGAUGAUGGGGAACCCGAUCUAGGCCUCAGUGAUGAAGAGGAGUCCGACCCCGAUGACAACAACCUAGGGGGUAAUCAGGAUGAUGGCAAUGACGACCCGGGCUACAGCUCUGGCCACACCGAUUAGUUCGGUGAAACCGCGGGCAACGUCGUUGUAGGAGUCCUAGCUUGCCGUAGUGGGGUUCGGGUUUGUAAUAUAAGUUUUCUUUUGGUUGAGAAGUUGUAUUUGUUUGUUCCUGGUGUGUCGAACUAAUGUUUAAUAAAUAAAUGGAAGAAUGUAAGAUAUGUUCUGUGUUAUGAAUUUCACGUGGUAACAGGUAUCUACGAUUCUUGUAACAGAUGCCGAUGCGUACACGCGGAUCUGAUGGAGCUGGGACAUCUCAGGGAGGGGAUGAUAUCCCCAACCCUCCACCUGAUCCACCUUCUUUGGCUGACGCCAUUGCUGUUCUGUUAAGUGCCACUACUGACAACGCUCGCUUGCUGCGCGAGCUAGCACAGCGUCAACCACACCCCGCCCCAAACUUCAGGGCACCGCGCAACGGGGACGGAGAGACUCGGUAUGUGGACUUUACCGAGACCAGGCCCCCGGUGUUCACUAAGGCCGAUGAGCCUUUAGAAGCGGAUGAUUGGCUCCGAACCAUGGAGCAUAAGUUCAGUUUGAUUCAGUGUUCAGAAACUCAGAAGCCCCUGUUCGCAGCUCAGCAGCUUCGAGGAGCUGCAGGUGCCUGGUAGGAGAACUUCUUAGCUAUCCAAGCUCCUGGACACCAAGUCACCUGGACCGAGUUUAAGGACUCGUUUCGCGCCCAUUACAUUCCUGAAGGGCUCAUGGCCAUGAAGGCCGAAGAGUUUCUCGCCUUGCAGCAAGGCGAUAAAAGUGUUAUGGAAUACGUGGCAAGGUUUAAUCAUCUCUCUCAAUAUGCCACGGACCAUGUGAACACAGACCAAAAGAAGAAAGCCUGCUUCAUGCGUGGUCUAAAUACUAAACUUCAGACCAUGAUGACCACUUGCCAAAAUGCUACCUUCUAUGAGGCGGUAAAUAUUGCCAUAGCCUCAAAGAAAAAGAAUAGAAAGCAUAAAGAAGCCAAGAAGAAGGCUGCUUCUUCCUCCUUCUCUGGUCGCGGCCAAAAGCGCCAGAGAAUCAUUUAUCACCCGCAGGGCCACGGACGUUUCCAAGCGCCGCCACCUUAUCGUGGUCCUUUCUCCCCUCCACAGUAUAAACCAGGGCAGCAGGUAUACUCUCGACCUACUGCCAUCGCUUUCGCACCACGCCAGCCAAACGCCCCAGGUGUUCGCCCCACUGCUCCGCCCAGCCACAAUUACCCUUGCUUCAAUUGUGGUAAACCUGGGCAUUUCUCUAAAGAGUGCCCUUUUCCCCGCCAAGCCAACCCCACCUUCCAAAGGCCACCUAUGGGCCAACCCCAGCCGGGUCAAUUCAGAACUGGGGUUCAGAAGGGACAAAAUGUGCAAAAGGGGAAACCAGCGAAGAAAGUGGGACAAGUCUUCCAUACGGAAGUGGAGACGAUUCCAGAGGGUGAACCAGUAAUGAUGGGUACGUUUCCUGUCGCGAAACAUCCUGCUUUAAUGCUCUUCGAUUCUGGUGCAUCUCAUACAUUCAUCAAUCGCACCUUUGUGUUAAAGCAUGGCAUACCCAUUGGGGAAACACAAGAUCAUUUUUAUAUACAGUCGCCAGGAGGACGGCUGAUGUCCAAAGAAAUGGUUCACCAAGUACCCAUCGAAUUUGGUGGGCAUAAUUUUCCCACUAGCAUGAUUGUUCUUAAGGACCAAGAGAUUGAUGUCAUCUUAGGCAUGAACUGGAUGGCACAACGAGGGGUUGUGCUAGACACUUUGCAUCGAACCAUUAAAAUCCCCUUGCCCAAUGAGAAUUCUUAUUUGCUAAUUCAAUUAGUUACUCCCAAGCGGACAAUUGGGCAAGUUCAUGCCGCUAAUGUGUGUGAAGUCAAAGAUAUCCCGGUAGUUCGAGAUUUUCCGGAUGUAUUUCCUGAAGACCUACCAGGUCUGCCUCCGGACCGGGAUGUACAAUUCAGUAUAGAAUUGAAACCAGGGACAGCCCCAAUAUCUCGAAGGGCCUACAGAAUGGCACCGAAAGAGCUGGCCGAAUUAAAAACUCAAUUACAAGAGUUGUUGCAAAAAGGUUUUAUUCAGCCCAGUUCUUCUCCAUGGGGUUGCCCAGCCUUGUUUGUGAAAAAGAAAGAUCAAACAUUAAGGCUGUGUGUCGACUAUCGUCCCCUAAAUGAGGUGACGAUUAAGAACAAGUACCCAUUGCCCCGCAUUGACUUAUUGUUUGACCAGCUAGCUGGGGCCAAAGUAUUCUCGAAAAUUGAUUUGAGAUCGGGGUACCACCAAAUUAAAAUUAGGCAGGAAGAUGUGCCCAAGACAGCUUUUACAACCCGUUACGGGCUGUAUGAAUACUUGGUGAUGUCCUUUGGGUUGACCAAUGCACCGGCCCAUUUCAUGUACCUGAUGAACUCUGUCUUCAUGCCAGAACUAGAUAAAUUUGUUGUAGUCUUUAUUGAUGACAUUUUGAUUUACUCCAAGACUAAGAAAGAACAUGCUGAACAUUUGAGGGUCGUGCUGACUCGUCUCAGGGAGCAUCAGCUAUACGCCAAGUUCAGCAAAUGUGAGUUCUGGCUGGACAAAGUCCAUUUCCUGGGUCAUGUAUUAUCAGCGGAAGGAGUCGCUGUAGACCCAGGCAAGGUAGAAGACGUGUUGAAUUGGAAACCCCCGACUACGGUACAUGAGGUCCGUAGUUUUCUGGGUAUGGCGGGAUAUUACCGUCGUUUUAUCCCGGACUUUUCCAGAGUCGCCAAACCAAUUACAACCUUGCUCAAAAAUCAAACAAAAUUUGUUUGGUCACCCCAAUGUGAGCAAGCCUUUCAGACUCUGAAAAGGUUAUUGACAACUGCACCUGUCUUAGCCCAGCCAGAUAUUGAAAAGCCCUUUGAUGUGUAUUGUGACGCAUCAGGAAUAGGGAUAGGCUGUGUGCUAAUGCAGGAGGGUCGCGUAAUUGCAUAUGCUUCCAGACAACUUAAACCACAUGAAGAGAAUUACCCGACCCAUGAUCUUGAACUAGCCGCCGUGGUACAUGCAUUAAAGAUCUGACGUCAUUAUCUGUUGGGGAACACAUGUCAUUUAUACACCGAUCACAAAAGCUUGAAGUAUAUCUUUACUCAAGCUGAGCUUAAUAUGCGCCAGCGAAGGUGGCUAGAAUUAAUUAAAGAUUACGACCUUGAGGUGCAUUAUCAUCCUGGCAAGGCAAAUGUAGUAGCUGAUGCCCUCAGUCGUAAGGCUCACUGUAAUUGCUUAACAGUGACGCCUAGAGAUAUAACUUUGUGCCAAGAGCUAGAGAACUUGGAGAUAGAAAUGAUUUCCCAAGGAAGCCUUGCCAAUCUAAAGAUUGAUUUCAAUCUCGAAGCCCAAAUCAUAGAGGCACAAAAAGAAGACAAAGGCAUGAAACAUCUUAAAGAGAAGAUUUCUAAUAGAGCACCCACAGACUUUAAGGUGGAUGAUGCGGGAGUAAUCUGGUUCAAGAACCGGGUAGUGGUCCCAAAGGUACCUGAGCUACGUCAACGAAUCCUGGAUGAAGCUCAUACCACGAGGUAUUCUAUUCAUCCGGGAAGCAAUAAGAUGUAUCAGGACUUAAAGCAAAGGUUUUGGUGGACAAAAAUGAAGAUAGAGAUAGCUCGCUAUGUGGCCCAAUGUGACACCCGUCGAAAAGUCAAAGCCAUUCAUCUCAAGUCCGCUGGGGAGUUGCAACCUUUGCCUAUCCCCGCAUGGAAAUGGGAUGAUAUUAGUAUGGAUUUCAUAGUGGGGUUGCCCAAGACAGCCAAAGGCUUUGAUUCAAUUUGGGACAUUGUGGAUCGUCUCACCAAAACAGCACACUUUUUACCCGUAAAGAAAUCGUAUCAUACUUCCACCUAUGCUCAGAUUUAUUUUGAUCGUAUCCUAAGUCUGCAUGGGGUGCCAAAGACAAUAGUGUCAGAUAGAGGCACACAAUUUGUCUCCCAGUUCUGGAAAUGCCUACAUGAAUCCUUAGGCACCAAACUUUUGUAUAGUACAGCCUACCACCCUCUAACAGGUGGGCAAACUGAGAGGGUGAACCAAACCCUAGAAGAUCUAUUGAGAUCUUGUGCCCUAAAUUUUCCAGAUAAAUGGGAUGACUGCUUGCCUCUAGCAGAAUUUUCUUACAACAAUAGCUACCAAGAGAGCAUCAAGAUGGCUCCCUUUGAGGCACUAUAUGGCCGCCGAUGUCGAACGCCGUUACACUGGUCGGAACCCGGAGAAAGGUGGUUCUUCGGGGUUGACUUAGUAAAAGAGACUGAGAACAAAGUUAAACAAAUUCAAAAUAAUUUGAAAGUUGCUCAGUCUCGACAGAAAAGUUAUGCUGAUAAAAGACGUCGACCCCUAAGAUUCGACAAAGGUGAUCAUGUGUAUUUGAAAGUAUCCCCAAUGAAAGGAGUAAAUCGUUUUGGUGUUAAAGGCAAGUUAGCACCCCGUUACAUUGGUCCAUUCCCAAUCAUUGACCGAUGUGGACAGGUAGCUUACCGCCUUAAACUGCCCGAACGAUUAUCCGGGAUACAUAAUGUGUUCCAUGUGUCUCAACUGAAGAAGUGUCUUCGAGUACCAGACCAAGUUCAAGAUAUUGAAGAUGUGGAACUUGAACCGGAUCUAACUUAUUCGGAGUAUCCUAUCCCAGUAUUGGACCAAAAAGAUAGAGUUACUCGAAGAACAACUACCAAGUGGUACAAGGUACAGUGGAGCCAACACUCUGAAGAGGAAGCCACCUGGGAAUCUGAAGACUAUCUGCUGGAGAAUUUUCCCGAAUUCCACGCUUCUCUUCAGGACAACAUAUGAUAAAUAGGGAGUGUACUCUAGUGAAGGAAAGGAGUAGCCAACGUCAUGUACUUUGUGUACAUACAUGUUUAUAAUGGAGUGGUUUUCCCCAACCUCUUGCUUUAUGGGAAAGUUGAAGAUGAAAGAGUUUUGGCAAAUUUCCUUUUCCAUUACUUACCCUAGGGCUUUAAAUCUCGGGGACGAGAUUUCUUUAAGGGGGAAGGGCUGUAACAUCCCUGAUGUUACUAAUACUAAAAACGGAUCAUGUCAUCAUAAGCAUUGCAAAGCAUAUUUGUUAAGCACAUUGUUAUGCAUCAACUUAAAACAAGUUUAUUUUGAUUGCUUGUGUUUAGGGAAGUAGAGUGUGCUUAUGUUGUGUGUUGAUGCUUGCUAAAACCCUAGGGUGGAAGUUUUCCGAAGGCUUAGGGGGGGGAAAACCCUGAUUUCUGGACCCUAGAAUUGCCCCUUUUUGUGCAGUUCAAAAACUAAGCAAAAUUUGAGGUUGAGUUCAAAAGCAAAGUUGUAGGUCUUGUCAAGAUGUACAACUUUGGUGUUUUGAGUUUUUGAAGUUUCAAUACAAAAUUCAAAGUAAUUUUGAAAACACAGAUUUCCAGAAAAUGUCCCCUUUUCCAACUUAAACCCCCAAUUCAAAAUCCAUUUGGAAUUUUGAAAAGUGGUCAACAUGAAAGUUGUAGAGCACAGAAAGUUGAACAACUUUCAUGUUGGGAGUUUUUCAAGUUGUUUGGAAAAAUCAAAAGUAAUUUUAGAAUUUCUAUUCUGUCCCAAUUCAAACCAGAAUUGCCCCCAAAUUGAAUUUUUGAAUUUCAAACUGUUUCCCCUAAAUUCAUGCCCUUACACUCAAAAUCAGUUCUGGACUCUUAAAUAAGUUUUGUAGCUUAUAAAAUUUGGAACAACUUUUGUUUUGACACAAACUUGGCUCCAGUUCAAAUUUCGGCUGAAUUUCACAAAAGUCAGAAAAGGAGGGAUAAGGGUCUGCUACAGUGAUCCGAUAUGGAUCACCGGCUCCCUGUCCAGCGCAGCCGCCGCGCGAGCAGCGCCGCACGCAUGCGUGCGUGCACGCAGCUGCUUGUUGCCAGGGUCGCCAGGCGACGUGGAUGCCUCGGGCUUGCUUUCCCCUCCACUUGAGCGCAGCAUGGACGACGCCAUGCGUUUCCUCCGUUCUGAGCCAAAGAAGCCGACGAGCCUUUCUCUCCCAAAUUCACCAUAUCCAUUCCUUCCCAAGCCAAAUUGAGCAACCCAGAGUCUUCGUCACCUUCGUGCGAACCCAGUGCACCCCCAAGCUCCCUCUCUAACCCCCUCGAACGCCAGAGCUCCUCCCUCUUCUCCAACUCCGGCCGAGACCGCCGCCGCGGAGCUCUUCCCGUGGCCACGGUGUUACAGUGAGUAUCACACCCCGCUGGCGACUGUUUCACGUUCCUUCCAUGCCCCGGUUGCUCAUGCGCUCGCUCCCUCUCCUUGAUUGUGAGCAGGAUUGCCAGAACGAGCUUGCCGGAGCCAAAGCUCCCGCCCGACGACACUGCCUCCGUCGCCAGCGGCUUCAGCUGCUUCCCCGAGACUCGCAGCGUGAGCACCAUCCUCCCCAACCCCUGUGGAAGCUCGCUAGGCCGUCGGCUUGCACUCUACCGGGUCCUGGUGGCCGGCCGAUAGUCGGCCAUGGCGGCCGUCCGCCGGUGACACGGUUGCGAUAGAAAGAAGGCGGUAGAGCGCGAGUGAGUGGUAGAGAUCGGUCCGCGGAAGAGAGGCGGAGCCGAUGCGCACACGCGCGGGGGCUGAGGAACUCGCUAACGGCCGCCGGAGCUGCGGCAGUGCCGUCGCGCGUGAAGGGGACGAAGCUGACAGGUGGGGUCGUCCUGUCAGCGUCUCGCAAGAGGGGGAGGGAGCCUGACGAGCAGGGCCCGCUCGUCAGCGACCACGCAGAGAGGGGGCAGCGCGCGCCGCGUCUGCGUGGACCGAGCCCUCGGGCCGACUUGGGCCGGGUCCAAGCAGGCCGCCAGCGUGGCACAGUGCCCUUUCCUUUUUUCCCUUUUUGUUUAAAAGUGCUUAAUGUUUGAAUUUGAAUAGUAAAUUCUGUGCUGAUCCAAAAAUCAUGAGGAUUUUUGUGUAGCUUCCAUAAGAUGUUUAGAGCAUAAGAAAAAUACUAGGUAUUGUGUUUUCUGGUAGUUUGCAUGUCUAUAAAAAUUGGCUCUUUAAUUAGUAAAUAAAACUUGCAUGAAUUUUAAUAAUUUAUUUGUAUGUUCAAAAAUCACCAAAAUUGGUGGAGAGCCUCUGAACAUUAUUCCCUGGCUCCACACAAAAUUUGGUGGCAUUUGGAUAAUAUUUGAAUAAAAUAUAAAUAAACCCUUAUUUAAUAAUUAAAUAAUAAUUCCAAAAUAAUUAGAUAGUGAUUAGUUAAAUCCUCAUAAUUAGGGUUGAGUGAUUUUGGGAUUGUGUGAUGACCUGAGGUCAUUAACCCUAAUGACCUUUGGCAUUUAAUUAUUGGUUGGCCUUAAUGCUUAAUUACUGUCAUUAGUAGUUAAUUAAGAUUUAAUUAAGGUAAAUAGGAUUAAUGAUUAGUUAAUUUAAGAUAAUUAUGAAUUAGGAAAAGUCUUAAUUUGCAGAUGCAUCCUCUUGGGUAAAGACACUAAGAUGUUAAGCAACUUUAUUUAUUGGUUAUUCUGUAUUGCACCGAGAAGGCAAGUUGUACUCGACUUGAUCCUUCUUGCAUAAUUGUCAUACGCACAUCAUGAGCAUUCAUCAUUUUGCGUAUAGUAUCCGUGACCGAAGGAGCGCCCGUUGAACCAAACCCCGAGGUCGGUGCUCCGUUCGAAGAAGUCGGAUCCGAGACUUGGGAAGUCUCCGAGGGUCCCUCUCUGCCCUGCAACCAAGGCAAGCCCCGGAUGCAUUAACCCCUCCUUGAUUGUUUUAAAUCUUUUAUCACUUAUGAAUUGAAAAUGCUGCAUUAGGAAGUUGAGAAUUGGGUUAACCUACUUGCUACAUUUACUACCUUGAUAUCUGUUAUCCUGUCCUUGACACCUGUUUUAUUUUAAAACUGCGUAGCGAUGCUUAGCCCUGCUACUAGAUAGAUUUUCAACAAGAAAGUUUGAAGGGUUGUUGUGGAAUACAUUUAUGAUCAAUGAUGUUUUAAUCUGAGACCGGUCGGUGGACUUGCUUUAAGAAUGGAGUCUUAAAGUAGUGUCUCCAACUGUGUCGAUUAAGGACCGGUCCGUUGAUGGCCCGCUGGGUUGAGAAUUUAUAGUACUGGCCACUUGCCUUCGGUAAGCCCGGUCUUGUGAUCCCUCGACGCGAACAGCUACUCGCGCACUGGGAGUGGAAAGAUGGCGAGAGUAGUGUGUACCCGCCUUACGGAUCUGAGAUGACCGGAAAACAUCUAGAUCGGCUGUAGGAUGGUGGAGUACUGUGCUCUCGGGUGCCGCGAACCUGGUCAAAUUUGGGGAGAGCUUGAUUUGGGUUGACAUAUGCAAGUUUUGGUUCUACAUAUGUCGGGUGGUUAGGAACUCCAGCUGGAUUGCUAAGCGGUUCGAAUCGUCGUUGCUCCCCGAUUGGGAGACUCAAUCCAGUGCCCCUCAUCGUAGUUAAAUAUGCAACUAAGUUGUAAAAUGAAAAAGGGGGAAAUGUCUCAUGAGGUUCGGAUCCCAAUUCCCGGACUCAUAGCGACAUGAAGCUAUGGCCAUCGAAUGAAUAAUACUUUAUUUUAGGACUAGAAACUCACAGACUUGUUUGUGGGGAAACAACUAGGUAGACUGUCCUCGAACUCCUCGGCCUCGACGGGGGAGGAAUUCGUAGGUAAAACUUGAAAGUAAGGAUGCACUAUUAGUAAGAUUUAUAGCAAAACACUUUGGCUCCUUGCUUAGCCACUCCUUGUCUACCCUAAGCCUGCAUUCCUAAGUUCUCCUCUUUUCCACCGGGUAAGUCUUGUUGAGUACCCCCGUACUCAGGGUUCCAAUACCCCUGUUGCAGGUGAAGCACAGGAGCCGACUUGUUUCGGACCCUGUUGUGUGACCGUCGUCGAGGUUGACGACGAAGAAGAGUGAGCGUGACCCAUGGGCAGGGUCUGUAAAUUUGUACUCUCUGUCCUAAAGUUUAAGUUGCUCCACUGGACCUGGCUUGUAAUAACACUCUGCUAUUUGGAAGAACUCCUUUUGUUAAAUAAGUUAUGUAAUACUUCCGCUGUUUUACUCUGAAAUAUUAUGUUGGUCGUAUGUCGUUUGUGGUACUGCAAUGUCUUCGCAACGAAUGAUCCUGGUGAUAAGGUGGCCACUUGCUGUCCUGUAAGGGCGAGAAGAAGAAGUUCUCGUUAAUUGACCAUCACCAGUGGUCAGGACGAGCCGGCUUGGCACGCCACAGGUAGCAGUGGAAUGAGCAUCCAGCGAUGCUCAUCGGACUUCUAAAGUGGGAGGAUCCCCGGCAUCGCCGUCAGAGGUCCUUAGGACAAUGACAGGUGCCGGUGGGCCCAAACACUUAGGGGGUUCUGCCACAAAGACUCAUUGUAAUCCAAGACUUAUGAUAUUGAGAAUACAAAUCACUUUGUUCAGCUGUGUGCUAACAAAUUCAGAGAGAGAUCUCUACCCCUUUGCUCUUGUGUUUUCCUUCGCGGAGAUUACAGAAGCGGCCGCGUCAUCGGCACCCAAUCCGUGCUCCUGAUCCUCGAGUUCAGGUUGCGUAGGUUGGCUCUUUGAGAGUGUGGUUGGGCGAAUCCUUGGUUCAGGCUGCCGUAUAGAGACGGUGGUUGGCUCCUUGUGCGUGUCGUCAGGUUGCACUAGUUAUCCUCGCUGCUUGCAGCAAGUUAUCGGCUGAUCUUCAGCUAGUUAUCCUACGUCGUGAAGAUCGGGACAACGACCUCACCAUCUGGUAUCAAAGCUCAAGUUUCCACGGUAGGAUUUUUACCCUUAGCUACAUAUAUAUAUCUUGUUCGUCCUAUCCACCAAAAAGCCAUAAAAAAAAUUGCAUUAGCCCUUUGUUUCAAUCUGUUUUUCUUGUGAGUUUGGUUAAGUUUCAGUCCAUUAGAGUUUUGUUUAGUUGCUGAUCAUCAUAUCCUUUGUGUGUCCUUUGUGCCUCUUUUAUAUCUACAAAUCCCUAAAUAAAAUCUAAAACUGGUAUCAUCCUUCGCGUAAACUUUGAGCCUAUCAAGUUAGAACGCUGACGGUUGUGUCUUGUUUAAAAAAAAGUGUGUGCAAGUGUUAUAUCUGCUCUUGUUCUUAGUUAUAAAAAAAGUAUCAAAAAAAGGAAAGUGAAAAAAAAGACUUGAGGAAGAAAAGUUGUGAAGAAAGAGUAGAAAAUUCACUCUGUUUAUGUGCUCAAGUUCUGAAUUUUAUAUCAAGUCACACAAUCAGUCAUUAUCCAUCUUUGGUGCAAAAUUUUGCUUGGGUUUGAUUGCAACACUUGCAUCCUAGGCAUACUCCUUGUUAGCAUCAAAUCUGAAUUAUCUUUGCGCGUGUGUUUGAUCUAUUUACAUCACUCAUAUCUUGUGGUCAGCACUAGGCAUUGAACUUCUAGUUUGGAUUGUGGUUUAACUUUACAAUAUCAAGAAUUCAGACUGCAUUCCUUGUGAAAUAUAUCCCCACCAAGCUCCACAAAUAACCCACCGUCAUAGGAAAAUACUGAUCUUGGAUUCUCCCAACCAUCAUUCUCGGUUACCACCUCGCAUUGGCCGUUGUAAUCUGCAGGGAACUCACAUGAGCUUCGGUUGGUAAGAGAGGUGAGAUUGUGAGAUUCCACAUAUAAUUCCCUAUUCUACAUAUAUUGUUGCUUUGCCUUCACUAAUUUUUUACAGCAAGAUGUCUGAGCAUCCGGAGAUUGAUGAUUGUGUCACCAUGGCACAAUUCGGUGAGAUGAAACAAAGCAUGGAGACGCUAACAAACAAUGUUCAAGCACUCAUGAACCGGUUGCAAAUCCAUCCUCAUGAUAAUGCAAAUGGCAGUCACCAUGAAGAUGAAGAUGAAGAAAGCGAAGGAGAAGCUGCUCGUCGUGCAAGGGAACGACGUAGAGAGCGAGCUGCUGCCAAUGCAAGAAGACCUCCUUUUCCACGACGUGAUCAUGGUGGUAGAGGUGCUGGUCAUGGACAUGGGAGAGGUAUUGGAUUGGAAGAAAGUGAAACUAAGGAAGAGGAUGAACAGUCCCAUUAUGAUGAUCGUCGUCACCGAAGAAAUCGUAGGCGUAAUCAGCACAAUGAAGAGAGGUUUGGCAAGUUAAAAUUCACCAUGCCCCAGUUUGAAGGAGGAUCUGAUCCUGAAGCAUAUCUUACAUGGGAGUUGAAGGUGGAUAAAAUUUUUCGUGUGCAUAAUUAUUCUGAGAGAAAGAAGGUUGCCAUGGCUGCUCUUGAGUUCGAUGGGUAUGCUCUAAUCUGGUGGGAGCAAAUGUUGAAUGAAAGAGAAGAAGCUAGUCAAGGUGAUGUUCGUUCAUGGGCUGAAAUGAAGAGAGAAUUGAGAGCAAGAUUUGUCCCCAAACAUUAUCGCCGUGAUUUAUUUGACAAGCUACAGAAUCUGAAGCAAGGAAGCCUCAGUGUUGAUGAGUAUUAUAAAGAGAUGGAGAAGGCGAUGAUUAGAGCCAAUGUAAUUGAAGAUGAAGAGCAAACAAUUGCAAGAUUUAUGUCAGGGCUGCAUCGGAAUAUUCAGCGCAUUGUUGAAUUUCAGCAAUAUCGUAAUCUUGUUGAAUUGGUGCAUCAAGCUAGCAAAGCUGAGCGGCAAUUGCAGCAGGAUAUGAAGUCCACUAGAGGAGUAUCUUUCAACACAAAGAGUGCAGCAAGUGGAAGUAAAUUUGCACCCAAAGGAAGUGGAAGUAAAGGUACAUUUUCCAGCUCAAACGGUGGUGCACGAUCUAGCAACCUUGGUUCUUUUAGUAGCAAAGAGUUGGCUGCUCAAAAUGAGAAAUUCAAAUCAGCAAACUCAGUGGGUUCUUCCAGCAAGAGUAGUGGAAUUCAGUGCUUUAAGUGUGGUGGUCGUGGUCAUGUUGCAAGAGAGUGUCCAAACGCUAGAACCAUCAUUGUGAAUGAUCAAGGGGAGUAUGAAUCUGCUAGUGAGGAAGAACAAGAAGAUAGUGGAAGUGAGAGUAAUCUUGAGAAGGACAUCUGUGAAUUUGAAUCUGGUGCUGCUCUUGUUGUAACUCAGAUUUUGAGUGUACAAAUGAGCGAUGCUGAAAAUGGACAGCGGCACAAUCUUUUUCAGACUAGAGCUAAAGUGCAAGAUAAGGUUGUCAAAGUGAUCAUUGAUGGUGGCAGUUUCCACAAUCUUGCAAGCAAAGAAAUGGUUGAAAAGCUUGGGUUGAAGCUGCUGAAACAUCCCCAUCCAUAUCAUGUGCAAUGGCUUAAUAAUUCAAGUUCUAUUAAGAUUGCACAAAGAGUGAAAGUUCCAUUCAAGAUUGGUGAAUAUAUUGACACUGUAGAGUGUGAUGUGGCGCCUAUGAAAGUGUGCCACAUGCUGUUGGGAAGACCAUGGCAAUAUGAUCGAUCGUCUCUACAUUGUGGUAGAACCAAUCAAUACACCAUCAAGUGGAAGAACAAGGAGUUGAUUCUUAAACCCAUGACACCGCAGCAAAUCCUAGCUGAGCACUUGCAAAAGAGCUCCGAAGUGAGGAAUGAGAGUGCAAAAGAAGGAGAAAAAAAUAAUUUGAGUGCCCUCCACAAAUCAGUGAGUGAGAGCCACAAGCCAAACAUGAGAGAUGACAGAAAAAGAGAGGGAGAGAACUUCGUGAUGAUAGCCACCAAAUCUGAAAUGAGAGAUGUGAGGAAAAACCCAUAUCAAGUACUAUUUGUACUUGUGUCCAAGGACACAUUGCUUUCAGCUAAUGACUUAACAUCUGUUCCUAGUGUUGUUGCACGUGUUUUGCAGGACUAUGACGAUGUUUUUCCAAAGGAAACACCUGCUGGACUUCCUCCUUUGCGCGGUAUUGAACAUCAAAUUGAUCUCUUCCCUGGAGCUGCACUUCCAAACCGUCCGGCGUACCGCACCAAUCCGGAAGAAACCAAGGAGAUUCAAAGGCAAGUACAAGAACUUUUAGAUAAAGGAUAUGUGCAAGAAAGUUUAAGUCCUUGUGCUGUUCCUGUGAUUUUGGUGCCAAAGAAAGAUGGUUCUUGGAGGAUGUGUGUAGAUUGUAGAGCCAUAAACAAUAUCACCGUUCGUUAUCGUCAUCCUAUUCCUAGGCUAGAUGAUAUGCUUGAUGAAUUGAGUGGUUCUAUGAUGUUUUCUAAAAUUGAUUUAAGAAGUGGUUACCAUCAAAUUAGAAUGAAGAUUGGAGAUGAAUGGAAAACUGCUUUUAAAACAAAGUUUGGGCUAUAUGAAUGGUUAGUUAUGCCUUUUGGUUUGACCAAUGCCCCUAGUACGUUCAUGAGAUUGAUGAACCAUGUCUUGCGAGCAUUCAUUAGAAAGUUUGUUGUUGUUUACUUUGAUGAUAUUCUAAUUUACAGCAAGACAGUGGAGGAACAUGUUGAUCAUAUUAAGCAAGGUUUGGAUGUGCUAAGAAAAGAAAAAUGAUUUGCUAACCUUGAGAAGUGCACAUUUUGUACAGAUCAGGUUGUGUUUCUUGGUUUUGUUGUUUCAGGUUCAGGAAUUCAGGUUGAUGAAUCAAAGGUGAAAGCAAUCAAGGAUUGGCCAACUCCUGAAAAUGUGAGUCAGGUGAGAAGUUUUCAUGGACUUGCUGGUUUUUACAGGAGAUUUGUGAGAGAUUUCAGCACCAUAGCCGCUCCGUUGAAUGAGUUAACAAAGAAAGGUGUUGCCUUCCAAUGGGGUGAACCACAAGAGAGAACAUUCCAAGAAUUGAAGAAGAACCUGAAGGAGUGGGAAGAGUGCUUGCCACAUGUGGAAUUCGCUUACAACAGGGCAGUACAUUCUACAACUAAUAUGUGUCCUUUUGAAGUUGUGUAUGGAUUCAAACCCCUUGCUCCGAUCGAUUUGUUGCCUCUACCAUUGUAGGAAAGGAUUAACAUGGAAGCAUCCAAGCGUGCAUCAUAUGUCAAGAAGAUUCAUGAGAAGACCAAAGAAGCAAUCGAAAGAAGGUCCAAGUACUAUGUUGAUUGGGCAAACAAGCAUCGCAAGAAGGUGAUAUUUGAGCCCGGAGAUUUAGUGUGGGUACAUCUUCGCAAAGACCGCUUUCCUGAGAAGCGUAAUUCCAAGUUGAUGCCACGGGGAGAUGGUCCAUUCAGAGUGCUGUCCAGGAUCAAUGAUAAUGCCUACAAGAUUGAGCUUCUUGAAGAUUAUGGUGUUAGCACAACCUUCAAUGUUGCUAACUUGACACCAUUCUUCGGAUUAGAAGAAUCAGAGUCGAGGUCGACUCCUUUUCAAGAGGGGGAGGAUGAUGAGGACAUCCCAACCAAGCAUGCUCCCUCUAAUUCCACUCCAACCUCUACACCGACUACGCCGGCACCAGCCCAUGUCAUCAAUGGACCGAUUACACGUAGUCGUGCAAAGAAGCUACAACAAGAGGUCCACGCGCUACUUUGUGAGAUUCAUUUUAACAUUAAUAAGAAUUAUAUACUAUCUAAGUGUUGUACCUUGGUUGUACUCAGGUAUAUAGAAGAAGAGAAGGAUAAAUCGGACCCUGAAGAACGGACCAGUGCAAGUUCUAGAAGAAGUCAAAAACGGACCAGUGGAAGUCAAAAAUGGACCAGUGAAAGAAAUCUUUAUAACUUUUUACUCACAAAAGCUAUGAAGGUCCAUGAGCACUUGUUGGAAAGCUUGAUGAGUCUACUUUCCAAUGAGUCUAGUGGCGACCAGUUUGGAUACUCCAUAUUUCCUGCAGACCAAAAUUAGUACAGACUACUCAGAAGGUCAACAGUCUGUCGUGACAGAAUAUUGGUACAACUUGCCAAGUGAAACUGUACCAAUCUACAGCGUUUUAUGGUGCAUGGAAUACAUUGAUGGAAAGCUCUUGGAGUUUAGUUUCACACCCAAGAAACGGUUCAUCAUUUGGACUUCCCAAUAAAAAGUUAUGGUCAGUUUAUUGGAAACUGCUCUGGAGGCCAACAGUCACGCGAAGCCACUUCGGAAAUCCAUUUCGAGGGGACCUUUCACAUUACCUUCCCUCAAAAACUCUAUUUCGUUUUCAUACCUAUCUAGCAGGGCUGUUGCUAGUAUAAAUACCCCCUAAGACUCAUUGUAAUCCAAGACUUAUGAUAUUGAGAAUACAAAUCACUUUGUUCAGCUGUGUGCUAACAAAUUCAGAGAGAGAUCUCUACCCCUUUGCUCUUGUGUUUUCCUUCGUGGAGAUUACAGAAGCGGCCGCGUCAUCGGCACCCAAUCCGUGCUCCUGAUCCUCGAGUUCAGGUUGCGUAGGUUGGCUCUUUGAGAGUGUGGUUGGGCGAAUCCUUGGUUCAGGCUGCCGUAUAGAGACGGUGGUUGGCUCAUUGUGCGUGUCAUCAGGUUGCACUAGUUAUCCUCGCUGCUUGCAGCAAGUUAUCGGCUGAUCUUCAGCUAGUUAUCCUACGUCAUGAAGAUCGGGACAAUGACCUCACCAGUCUAUGUCUGGGACGAACCACGUGAUAAGAUUACACCACAAAGGAUGCUUAUCCAUAGGCCAAUAAACCCAACCCGUCCUGCUAACGAGAGGUGGACUACAGAGGACCAACGUAACUGUCACCUACGCAGCCUACCACACGAUCCAGCUAGACAGGAGAUAUCCACAAGUAAUCUAGGUCUAAGCACCACGCUUACACCUAUACUACAACUCUCACCUAUAGCGUCCUAUAGAUUAAAGUACUCAAAAGUGUUGUGAACCAGAACAUACAUGAUUAGUAAUUGCAUAAUGAAUUAGAAGUAGAUUACCAGAGUCAUCCCAUGAGCAAGCUUGAUUAGAGCUUGAUCAUGACGAAGUACAACCGGAGGAAGAACCGACAGGCCGGCCUCUCCUCUAAUCCUCCUUCGCUCUCCAUCUCGCUACUAUCUAGAUCUACUCUAGUUUAGAGAAGAGAGGAGAGCUCUCAUCUCUAAACCCUAGCUUUUGCUCUGUCUAUGAAUAAUGAUCAAGGGGUGCCUCCUCUAGGGGCCAGGGGGUCUGGUUUUAUAGUCCCCUCAAGUGAACCUGGGCCGUCAGAUCAAACCGACAUAGAUUGAACGGUUAUCCUUGAUCCUUUAGGUCGGUGGAGAUCUCCCGAGAAACAGAGUCCUGAUUGGACUCCAAGUCAGGGCGGGCGCCCAGGGCAGGAGGGCGGGCGCCCUGCCUCUGGCCCCGUUCGGCCUCCGCUUUCUUCCCGUGGCUUCUGGAGUCUUCUAGAUGUAAGAUAAUUGCGUGGCACGUUAAUAUCUCUAUGUAAUCCCGACGUGUGGGCGUUUCUUCCGUAUUUCUUGAUAACCCCCUGCAGAAAUAGACAAACACCAAAACUUGUGGAAUUCUGUCAGAUAAAACCUUAAGUCUAGAUGUUGAUUUCAUUUGGAUCCUUUUCUUUGUUUAUUUGAUAAUUAAAUUUGAUACUUAAGGACCGUCAACAAUGGCAUCAAUAGAUCUCCUACUAAUUUCAAUUCCUCUCUGAUGCACCAUUGUUGACUGUCCUUAAUGCUCACAUUUAACCAUCAAUAAUCAUGGAAAAGGAUCCAAAUGCAACCAACAUCUAGACUUAGGGUUUUGUGUGACAAAAUUCCACGAGUUUUGGUGUUUGUCUAUUUCUGCAGGGGGUUAUCAGGAAAUAUGAAAGAAAAGCCCACACGUCGGGUUUACAUAGAGAUAUUAACGUGUCGCGCAAUUUUCUACCAUCUAGAAGACUCCAGAAGCCACGGGAACGAACGGGAGGCCGAUCGGGCCUGGCGGCAGGGCGCCUGCCCUCCCCCCUUGGGUGCCCACCCAGCUACAGUAACCAAUCAGCUUCAACUUCGCGGAUCGUGCUCCACUGACCUAAAGGAUCAAGAAAAACCGUGCGAUUAAUGUCGGUUUGAUCUGACGGCCCAGAUUCAUCUGAAAAGACUAUAUAAGCAAGGCCCCCUGGCCCCUGGAGAUCAUACCUCUUCUACAGAAUCAAAGCUAGGGUUUCAAUUCUUCAUCCAAGUAGAGAGGAUCCCUCUAGUUCUUCUAGUUCUACCUCUAGUUCAUCUAGAUCUAGUUCUAGUUUAUCUAGUUCUAGUUCUAGUUCUUCUAGUUCUAGUUCUAGUUAGUUCUAGUUGUAAUCUAGAAAAUAGGGAGAGAGAAGAGGAGAGCGGAGGAGGAGCCGGAUCUGUCAGAUCUUCCUCAACAUUGUACUUUUGCAGCAACUGGUUUGUUCUUCAUCGUUCUCCAGGUUCUUCAAUUCAUAAUCCUAAGUUCUUUAAUUACUUUUAUUUACAUUCAAGUUAUUUAUUGGAUUCCCGCUUGCAUCAAGUGCUCUAAUCUUUGCAACAUUAGAGUAGUAAUUAAUAGAUUAGACAUGGUGUUUAGUCUUGCAAUUACCUGGAAUUGCACCCAAUCCUGCGGAUUGUUGUGGUAGCCUUAGGGUAGUGACAGCCCUAACAGUCGACGUAUUCCACCUCGUUCGGAUCGGUGUUUGUAGGACCGUAGUCAGACCUUCCUAGCUCCCUUCUCAUCUCUUUCUGUGGUUAGUGCUCUGAUGUCCCGAAAUAAAUAAUCUUGAAGUAAUUCUUGAUUCUUAGAUCAACUAGAGAACUCUCAGGAAACUUCUUCUCUUCCCACCAAAAAUAAUUAUAUAGUAAUCCUUGGGCGAUCUUGAAUCUUAAUUAGUACACUCACGUUCCCUGUGGAAAAUCGAUACUCUGGAAUACUCCCGGGUGAAAGCUACAUCGGUAUCCGUGCGCUUGCGGAUUUUUCUGUUUGCGUUUAAAAUACCCAACAAGCUUUCUGGCGCCGUUGCCGGGGAACGGUAGCUGUGCUAGUUUCGAACCAAGUCGUCCGUGUAUCCUUUUUCUUUUCCCUUUUACCACACUCACCUUACCAUUUUCACCACACCACAUGGAUUUCACUCCUAUCUAUAAAUUCUUUGCUCCAAAGGGUGAGUUAUUAGAGCCACCACCAUCAUCACAUCCAAUUCUUACAAAUGGCUACGACCUCGGCCCUGAUCUAAUAGCCAUGAUUCAGGAGCAACCCUUCUCUGGGCAAGUAGAUGAAGAUCCAUACACCCACCUAGAGAAUUCGAGCAGUUGUGCUCUUGCCGAUCUAUUUCCGGCAUGACACAAGACACCCUUAAAUGGAAAUUAUUUCCGUUCUCCCUUUUGGGAAGAGCAAAAAAGUGGUAUGCUCAUUCUAUAGGAGGCGUUAAUGGAAAAUGGGAUGAACUUCGGGACAACUUUUGUCUCGCUUUCUUCCCACUUUUUCGAAUUGCUGAGCUUAGAAUUGAAAUUCUUACAUUCAAACAAAGAGAGAAGGAAACUUUAGGAGCAGCUUGGGCUAGGUUCACAAGCCUUACCAAUUCCGGUCCAAACCUUUCCCUGCCUGACCAUGUACUGUACUAUCACUUUUAUCGUGGUCUAAACAAGGAAGCUGCUCUUCACCUCUACAUUGCUUCAGGAGGCUCAUUCACACACAAACUCAUAGAUGAGGGGAGAGCUAUCCUAGAAAGAAUUCUUGAAAAUACCCCUUACACAGGAAUUUAUGAUGAGUUUCCUGAAGGAGAAAAAGAAGUCGAGCCUAAUCCUAUACCAAAAGAUGAGGAACUUGCAACCGAGUUAGAAAUUCCACCUGACCCAUCCAUUAAUUUGGUUGUAGAGAAACCUCCUGAUAAAGGAAUGCAAAACCAACUAAGGGAUGAUGAACCACCACCUUUAGAGCAUCCCUUUGAAUUCGAGGAAGAUCUUUUUGAAGAUUAUGGAAACACCUCGAAUUUUCCCAUCCAAACACGACCUCUAGUAGGGACCACUCAAUUCAUUCUAAGAGAAGAAUCUGUUGACAUAGAACACAUCAAAAGCCUAUCGGCUAUUCUGAGUUAUGAAUGGCUAACAGAAACAGAGCUGUCUCUUGAGGUAGCUCAAAUCAUCACUCCUUCAACCAUUCUUUUGUGCCAAAUUAGACGGUCCGCUAGGAAGGUCCACUACAAUCCAUAUGUUGGGAUAAAUGUUAUUUCCAAGGAGUUAGCUGACACUCUUUAUCCCAACGAGUCCAUAACCCCAUCUCAAAAACUUUUACAAAGUCCAUCUAGAUUAAUUCUAGAAAGCCAUGGGGUAUUAAGGGCAGUUCCUGUUCGAAUCAAGGACUCUAGAGUAUGUCUAGAUUUUCACAUUUUUGACAUACCAGAGAUUCCUCUCUUGAUUGGCAGACCAAUCAUGAAACUUCUACAAGAACAACCACAACAAGGUCAUUUAGACUUCAAGGUUGGGAAUUCCACCAUUGUUGUUCCUCUUGCUAGAUCAAUUAACAUGAUAGUGGAACCCAAACUUAAACCAGAUCCUAUUGAGGAGAUCUUAAUGCUGACUCAAGAGGAGAUGGCCCAACCAUUCUUUAAUCAUGAACACUUUGUUCAAGAAGAAGAAGAGUUGGUAGAACCCGUUGAGCUAGACAAAAAUGAACAACCUUCACCUCCUAUGAUAGAGUUAAAACCUCUUCCUUCUGGCCUUAGAUAUGUCUUUUUGCACAACAACCCAAAAACUCUAGUAAUUAUCAGUGACAAGCUUUUCGAUUAUGAAACACAACUUGUCACUGUUCUUGAAAGGCAUAGAUCAGCAUUUGGCUACUCUCUCGAGGAUCUCACGGGCAUUAGUCCCAUUCUCUGCACUCAUCGUAUCCCUAUUGAUCCUAAUUUUACACCUUCAAGGGAACCACAACGGAGACUUAACAAUGCUAUGCGAGAGGUUGUUAAGAAAGAGGUCCUCAAACUCUAUCAUGCUGGGAUUAUUUAUCCUGUGCCACAUAGUGAGUGGGUUAGCCCUGUCCAAGUAGUGCCAAAGAAAGGAGGAAUGACGGUCGUUAGGAAUGAAAAGAAUGAACUCAUCCCUCAACGAAUUGUCACUGGGUGGCGUGUGUGUAUUGACUAUCGAAAACUCAAUAAGGCUACAAAGAAAGAUCACUUUCCGUUACCCUUCAUUGAUGAAAUGUUGGAACGGCUUGCAAACCACUCUUUCUUUUGUUUCCUUGAUGGUUAUUCUGGGUAUCACAAAAUCCCAAUCCACCCAGAUGACCAAGAAAAGACUACCUUUACAUGCCCGUAUGGAACUUAUGCAUACCGACGAAUGUCGUUCGGACUAUGCAGUGCUCCAGCUUCUUUCCAACGGUGCAUGAUGUCUAUUUUCUCGGACAUGAUUGAGAAAAUCAUGGAGGUUUUCAUGGAUGAUUUUACCGUCUAUGGCAAAACCUUCGAUCAUUGUUUGGAGAAUUUAGAUAGAGUCUUGCAGCGAUGUGAAGAAAAGCACUUAAUCCUAAAGUGGGAGAAAUGCCAUUUUAUGGUUCAGGAAGGAAUAGUGCUAGGACAUAAAGUGUCCGAACGUGGUAUAGAGGUGGACAAAGCAAAGAUUGAAGUUAUUGAAAAACUUCCACCUCCCACGAAUGUGAAAGGAAUCUGUAGCUUUUUGGGACAUGCAGGAUUCUAUAGACGCUUUAUCAAGAAUUUCUCUCAAAUUGCUAGACCCCUAACUAAUCUCCUAGCUAAGGACGCACCUUUCAUCUUUAGUGAUGAGUGUCAUGAAUCUUUUCAAACUCUUAAGAAAGCACUCAUCUCAGCCCCGAUUAUCCAACCACCUGAUUGGAAUCUUCCUUUUGAGAUCAUGUGUGAUGCUAGCGAUUUUGCGGUUGGUGCCCUUUUAGGACAAACCAAGGAUAGAAAGCAUUAUGCCAUAUCCUACGCUAGCAAAACCUUGUCUGGACCACAGCUCAAUUACACUACAACUGAAAAAGAGCUUUUGGCUGUUGUCUUUGCUAUAGACAAGUUUAGAUCUUACUUAGUGGGGGCAAAGAUAAUCAUCUAUUCAGACCAUGCUGCUCUCAAGUACCUCCUCACUAAGAAAGAUGCUAAGCCUCGUCUAAUUCGAUGGAUUCUUCUACUCCAAGACUUUGACAUAGAGAUCCGAGAUAGGAAGGGAGUUGAGAAUUCCGUAGCCGACCACUUAUCUAGGCUUCAAUAUAAGGAAACACAUGAUGUGCUUCCCAUAAAUGACUACCUAAGGGAUGGCACCCUACUUAAGAUAACACAUGCAGAUCCAUGGUAUGCAAACAUCGUAAACUUUAUAGUAAAAGGCUAUGUCCCACCUGGUGCAAACAAAAGGAAGUUGCUUCACGAUAGUCGUUUCCACCUUUGGGAUGAGCCAUAUCUUUUCCGAGUCUGCGCUGAUGGACUCUUGAGAAGGUGUGUUCCUAUGGCUGAGGCUACUCAAAUUAUGGAAAGAUGCCAUGCCUCGCCAUAUGGAGGACACUAUGGAGCAUUUCGGACACAUGCUAAAAUUUGGCAAAGUGGUUUUUUCUGGCCAACGAUGUAUGAAGAUACAAAGGACUUUGUCAGGAGAUGCCACCGGUGUCAAAAACAUGGGAAUAGUAACUCACGAAAUGAAAUGCCUCUCACAAAUAAUCUUCAAGUAGAACUUUUCGAUGUUUGGGGCAUUGAUUUCAUGGGGCCAUUCCCUAUGUCCGGGAACUGCGAGUAUAUCUUGGUAGUUGUGGACUACGUGUCCAAAUGGGUAGAAGCCCUACCUUGUCGAUCAGCUGAUUCAAAACAUGCCAAGAGAAUGUUCCAUGAAGUAAUCUUUCCUCGCUUUGGUAUACCCCGGAUAGUUAUAAGCGAUGGAGGUUCCCACUUCAUCGACAAAAUCUUCCGGAAGUACCUAGCCGAUCAUGGAGUUCGACACAACGUCGCAACACCAUACCAUCCUCAGACUAGCGGUCAAGCCGAAACAUCUAACAAACAAAUCAAAAAUAUUUUACAAAAGACCAUAGAUGAGAUGGGUAAGGGGUGGAAGGACAAACUUUCUGAUGCACUUUGGGCAUAUAGAACUGCAUUCAAAGCACCCAUAGGCAUGUCACCUUAUCAACUUGUAUAUGGAAAAACUUAUCACUUGCCUAUGGAAGUAGAGUUUAAGGCUCAUUGGGCACUCAAGAAAUGUGGAUCUCCACCUCGCUAGCGAGAAUCGUCUGAUGCAACUAUCUGAGCUAGAAGAAUGGAGAGAGAAAGCCUACCACAAUUCAAGAAUCUAUAAAGAGAGAACAAAACGCUGGCAUGAUAAGAGAAUCAAGCACAAGGAGUUUAAGCCUGGAGAUAAGGUUCUACUAUUCAAUUCAAGAAUUAAGCUCUUUGGGCAUGGUAAGCUACGAAGUAAGUGGGAUGGACCAUACAAGGUUAUUGACACUUCAACUCAUGGAGCCAUUACCAUCCAAGACGACAUAGGUAACACUUUUAAGGUAAAUGGUCAACGCUUGAAAAUCUAUCUCGAGCCACAAAACAACCUGGUAGAGGAACUUGAUGUGAUUGAGUUCAUAGAAUUCUCACAUUAAGCUCUCAUAAGCUCUAGACAAUUACCUAACCCUUAACAUGUUCCACAAGUUUUGUUGUCUAUUUUGGUUGUGCAGGAUUUUGAGGCUUAAGAAGAGUGAGACCGAACAUGCAGGCCACAAGAGUGAACGACUAUGUCAACAUCCAGCUUGGGGGAGGCACCCCCACGUGUAUCUAGAUAAGUAUUACUUUUCUUUCUUGGUUUUAUUUACUAGUAUUCGGAAAUAAAAAAAAUGCAUAACCAUGAAACCAAACAAAGUUUUUCUUUUGAGUAAUAUACAAUAGUUUUGUGUAAUCCUAAGUUUUAAAUAAAAUAAAAAGAAAGUUUGAUUCAAGUCUAGGUAAUUGACAAACAUGAUAUGAGAAGGUCUGAGCUCUAUUUAACUUGUUCCAAGUUUUGCUAGAGUUCUGGAGAUUUUAUCUUUUGAAGAUCUAAAAAUUCAUAAAAAAAUAUAUGAGAUCAUAAUACCUAGAGUCUUAUAAGAUAUAAAUAUUAAAACUGUGGGCACUUGCUUUGUUCAAGCCAUUAUUAAUUCUUGUAGUUUUGGUUGAGAGAAUUAUCAUGCUCCCAAGAUCAAGAUCUUUUUGUUUUAAAAAUAUAAAAGAUUCACUCUUCUGAAGUAUUAUUGUGUUAGAGGCAUGGGACUAUGCAAAAAUUUGAUUCGAAAAAAGAGUGAGACGAGAGGUAAAAAUGGACAAGUGUCUGAAGUAGAAUUAGGGGUACAAAGAUACCCACCUGAGUGGAAAAAAUGGACAUGUGUCCGACAGUAGAAUUAGGGGUACUUGCUGCCCACUUGAAAAAAAGAGACUGAAAAAAAAGAGAAAAAAAGAAAAAAAUGAUAGCCCAUGGUCCCUCUAAUAAGCAAUAUGCCAGUAAGAGAUGACAAACUUUUCAAAAAGGUCAAAGGUCUUGAUCUAGGAGUAUGACAUUCCUCUCCCUUGUUCCGAGCAUUGACAUAGCAAAAUGCAAAGUAAGUAUGCUAAAAUUUUUAAAGCUCUACUUAUAUAUCUUUCGAGAAGAAGGCAAAUGCCUCAGUUUUAUUUUGGAAACUUACAAACAACUCCAGAACAAAGGUAAGACAGAAGAGCUUGAGACAUAGUGCUUGACUUGAUCGUUCUGUUUUUCAAUCACUUAAGACUUUAGUGAUAACUUAAAACCCUGUAGUAAAAGGCAUUAAAGUAACCCCUGUUUUCUUGCUGAUUUUAGCUUUGCUUAGGGACGAGCAAAGGUUAAGCUUGGGGGAGCUUGUUGACGGUCCUUAAUGCUCACAUUUAACCAUCAACUAAUCAUGGAAAAGGAUCCAAAUGCAACCAACAUCUAGACUUAGGGUUUUAUCUGACAAAAUUCCACGAGUUUUGGUGUUUGUCUAUUUCUGUAGGGGGUUAUCAGGAAAUAUGAAAGAAAGGCCCACACGUCGGGUUUACAUAGAGAUAUUAACGUGCCGCGCAAUUUUUUACCAUCUAGAAGACUCCAGAAGCCACGGGAACGAACGGGAGGCCGAUCGGGCCCGGGGGCAGGGCGCCCGCCCUCCCCCCUUGGGUGCCCACCCAGCUACAGUAACCAAUCAGCUUCAACUUCGCGGAUCGUGCUCCACCGACCUAAAGGAUCAAGGAAAACCGUGCGAUUAAUGUCGGUUUGAUCUGACGGCCCAGAUUCAUCUGAAAAGACUAUAUAAGCAAGGCCCCCUGGCCCCUGGAGAUCAUACCUCUUCUACAGAAUCAAAGCUAGGGUUUCAAUUCUUCAUCCAAGUAGAGAGGAUCCGUCUAGUUCUUCUAGUUCUACCUCUAGUUCAUCUAGAUCUAGUUCUAGUUCAUCUAGUUCUAGUUCUAGUUCUUCUAGUUCUAGUUCUAGUUAGUUCUAGUUGUAAUCUAGAAAAUAGGGAGAGAGAAGAGGAGAACGGAGGAGGAGCCGGAUCUGUCGGAUCUUCCUCAACAUUGUACUUUUGCAGCAACUGGUUUGUUCUUCAUCGUUCUCCAGGUUCUUCAAUUCAUAAUCCUGAGUUCUUUAAUUACUUUUAUUUACAUUCAAGUUAUUUAUUAGAUUCCCGCUUGCAUCAAGUGCUCUAAUCUUUGCAACAUUAGAGUAGUAAUUAAUAGAUUAGACGUGGUGUUUAGUCUUGCAAUUACCUGGAAUUGUACCCAAUCCUGCGGAUUUUUGUGGUAGCCUUAGGGUAGUGACAGCCCUAACAGUCGACGUAUUCCACCUCGUUCGGAUCGGUGUUUGUAGGACCGUAGUCAGACCUUCCUAGCCCCCUUCUCAUCUCUUUCUGUGGUUAGUGCUCUGAUGUCCCAAAAUAAAUAAUCUUGAAGUAAUUCUUGAUUCUUAGAUCAACUAGAGAACUCUCAGGAAACUUCCUCUCUUCCCACCAAAAAUAAUUAUAUAGUUAUCCUUGGGCGAUCUUGAAUCUUAAUUAGUACACUCACGUUCCCUGUGGAAAAUCGAUACUCUGGAAUACUCCCGGGUCAAAGCUACAUCGGUAUCCGUGCACUUGCGGAUUUUUCUGUUUGCGUUUAAAAUACCCAACAACCAUGAAACCAAGAAAUUGCCCUGCUGAUACACCAAAUGCACACUUGUUAGGAUUCAUCUUCAAACCAUGUUUCCUUGUGCACUCCAACACCUUUCGCAGAUCGGUAAGAUGCCUUGUGAAAUCCCCAGACUUAACCACCAUAUCAUCAAUGUAAAUUUCUACCAGCUUGCCAAUGAACUCAUGAAAGAUAAAAUUCAUAGCUCUUUGAUAAGUAGCACCAGCGUUUUUCAAGCCAAAGGUCAUGACUAUCCAUUCAAACAACCCAACAUGACCAGGACAUCUAAACGCGGUCUUUGGAAUAUCUUCUUCAGCCAUGAAUAUCUAAUUAUAUCCUGCAUUACCAUCCAUAAAGCUAAUGAUCCGAUGUCUAGCUGCAGCAUCAACUAGCAAAUUGGCAACUGGCAUUGGAUAACCAUCCAUCGGUGUAGCCUUGUUAAGAUUCAUGAAAUCAAUGCAGACUCGAAGCUUCCCAUUUUUCUUGUAAACUGGAAUGACAUUGGAAAUCCACUCGGCAUACCGACAUUGCCGAAUAAAUCUAGCUUCGAUAAGUUUAGUUAUUUCGGCCUUAAUAUCAGGAAGAAUAUUAGGAUUACAUCGACGAGCUGGCUGCUGAUGUGGCCGAAAUCUAGAUUUGAUAGGUAAUCGAUGUUCAACAAUAGAUCGGUCUAAACCAGGCAUCUCGGUAUAAUCCCAAGCAAAGCUAUCUUUAUAUUCCCUUAACAAAUCAGUUAACUGUUGCUUACACUCAGAAUCUAACUUAGCACUAAUAAACGUAGGCCUAGGCCUAUCACCAUUACCUAUAUCUACUUCUACUAAAUCAUCGGCCGAUGUAAACCCCUGUCCUAAUUUUCCAUCAUCGGCAAACCUAUCCAUUAAAACUCCUCGUCAAAACCGACUGCUUGGAUCGAUGGAAUUUUGUAAUCGGCAACCUUGAGAAAAUUCUUCUCCCAAAUUUCUCCCGAGAUGCAUCUGGUCCUUUCAUAAGUAUCUGCCUCUGCCGAUGCUAUAACAUAUGAAGAAUCUCCUGGGACAAUCUCAAUCUUGUCACCUACCCACUAAACCAAACAUUGGUGCAAUGUAGAUGGGAUGCAACAAUUGGCUUGGAUCCAAUCUCUUCCCAACAGUAGAUUAUAAGCACCCUUUCCACUGAUAACAAAGAAAGUCGUCGGCAAGGUUUUGCUAUCGAUGGUCAACUCAACACAUAUUGCUCCCUUAACCGGAGACACAUUCCCUUCAAAGUCCUUCAACAUCAUAUUGGUCUUGGUCAAGUCUUGAUCUCCUUUCCCAAGUUUCCGAUAGACUGCAUAUGGCAUGAUAUUCAUAGCAGCCCCACCAUCAAUAAGUAUUUUGGUCAUCGGCUGUCCAUCAACCCUACCUUUGACAAAUAGAGCUUUAAGAUGCUGUCUUUCAUUAUUGGCAGGCUUUUCAAAGAUAGCCGUCAUUGGACCCAGAGCCAAUUGAGCUAUCUGGUCGGAAAAAUCCACCUCAUCAUCACUGGCAGGCGCAAGGAACUCCAUCGGCAACAUAAACACCAUAUUAACAUCUGCCGAUGGCCCUUUUCCCUUAGGAUCUGGCCGCUGCUGAUCUUCAGACUUAGCAGAAUUCUCUCCUUUACUCAGCUCUUCUCGUCUUUCACGCUGCAGCCUUCUUUUCUAUGUCCUGGUCAACCACUCUGGACACCAUGGAGGAAGUUGGGGCUGCCUUACCGAUUGGCGACGAUUCUCUCUUAAUUCCAGUCGAUGAGUAUUAGCAUCUCUGCAAAAUAUGAACUCAUCGGGAACCCGUGCAUCUGCCAUCUCCUCAAGCUCCUCUUGGUUUCUAGGAAAAUACCCGACACGGUCACCAAGCCUGUCAUGCACACUGAGCCUGCCCCCCAGCCGAUUAUGAACCGAGGCUCUUCCCCUAAUCGGCCCAUCAAAACGCCGAUCAUUGUUUUGAUACUGCCGAUUUGGUCUAUCAUAUCGAUCAUAGCCAUUGCACUCAAGGCAGUCUCUAACAGUGGGCAGCUUGAUAUUUUGCUCCCAACAGUGGAUAAAGAACGGGCAGUUCCAGUGAUCCUUAUGCCGAUUCCACUCUUGUCGUCAUCUUUCUUCUUCCCGACAACGAUCCUCCUGUUUGCACCGAUACCGAUCCUCACGCUGCUGCCAAGUCUCCCGAUGCCUUCUAUGAGUAAUCACAAUGCCAGAUCAGGGAGGUCUUCCUGAGCUAGUUCCUUCCUGGAUCAAACCUUUGCCCUUGGCAUCAUCGGCAGUAAUCUGGUGCUGAGGAUCUACCGACGCACUUCUUUCAGCUGCCUCUGAUGUCAAGACUUUGGUCUUCCCCUUAGCGUCCAACAUAUUUGUAGGGAAAGGAUGUUGAUCGAUCUUCAUCGGCUUUUGAGCUUUGGAGCUAUCAAACUUAAUUCUUCCAGAUUCUAUAGCCGAUUGCAGCUGUUGUCUGAAGACCUUGCAUUCUUUGUGCUGUGAGAUGUUGCAUUAUGCCACUUGCAGUAUUUCAUCUUCUUUAAUUCCUUAGCCGAUGGAAUCACGUGAUUGGGCGACAACUUGAUUUGCCCUUCCUGAAGUAGAAAAUCAAAUAUCCUAUCGGCUUUGGUGAUGUCAAAUGCAAACUUCUCUAGCUCUUUAUGCCCAUAAGGGCAAGACAUCGGCUUCUUAUUUUCACCCAUUCUGCCAAGCCGAUGACUGGUUCUUGAUCAGAGUCUGAGCUUGUCGUUUCAUCGACAAAUGACACCUUUUUUCUCCAUGCCCUCUUUGGUUCAAAAGCCUUGAUAUCUUGGUCUGAGAUCCUCUACACCAAAUGACUCAGACUCUUGAAUUCCUAUGAAGCAUAUUUGUCUCUGAUAUGCAGCAACAAUCCCUGGAAAUCCAAAUUGGCUAGCUGCCGAUCGUCCAGAACCAGGCUAUAGCAUUUAUUCUUAACAUCCUGCAACCUUUGAACAAAACUUUCAACCGAUUCGUCAUUACGUUGUUUCAACCUGAAUAAAUCGGUAAUCUUCUUCUCAUGAACUCCAGAAAAGAAGUAUUUAUGAAACUGUUUCUCUAGAUCAGCCCAAGUGAUCACUGAAUUAGGAGGUAAUGAGAUAAACCAAGUAAAGGCCGAUCCAGACAAAGAUGAUGAGAACAAGCGAACCCUUAACUCAUCUCUAUUGGCAGCUUCUCCACACUGGAUGAUGAACCUGUUAACAUGCUCCAUGGUCGAUGUAUCAUCCUGCCCAGAAAACUUGGUGAAAUCUAGUACCUUGUACCGAUUUGGAAGUGGAAUUAAGUCAUAUGCAGGAGGAUACGGUGUCCGAUAAGAGUAAGUGUUGACUUUGGGUUUUAUCCCAAAUUGGUCUCUCAUCACCUCAGCUAUCUUAUCGGCCCAAUAAGCAUCGGCAUCUUGCCGAUGGGGCGGUUGUGGAUCUGGCACCUGCUGAUAAGCUUCAACAUGUCUCUGUGGUGCAUGAUCUCCAGGGAACAUCGGAUUAACCAUCGUCUGCUGACCACCAACUUGCUGACCAAGAUUCAUCGGCUGGUUGAUCUUCUGAAACCCAGGUUGCAUCAGUCCCUGCUGAAAUCCCAUAGCCUAAUGAUUCUGCUGAGGUGGCUGUGGAAAGACAAACUGCCCUGUCCAUCCAUUGUUAACAUUCAUCGGCGUAGGUCCUGCCGAUGACUGAUAAUUGGGCAUCAUCAUUGAAUUGACAUACCCGGGCUGUGUCAUAAACCUCUGUUGCGUCGGCAUUGGUUCUGCCGAUGCAUUAGGCAUCUGGAACGUUGGCGCUUGAGAAUUCCCAGUGAAAGGUCUUGCAGUAGUUGUUGUAGAAUACCGGGGAUUCUGAGCCAUCGGCAAGCUUGGAGGCGCCGAUGCCAUAGGAGCCUUGCCUGUCAUAUCAGCCACUUGAGAUGUUCCAGGGCUUUUUGUUGUAAACUCUCGAUGCAUACCAUACCCCCACCAAUUAGGAGGAACAGUACCUGACAUUGCCAAUGCCAACAGAUCUGUAGCAAGUUUGACUUGUCCCUCUGAUGUUGAUGGAUUGGUUGUCAUUGGUGUAGAUUGCGCAUUAGUUAUCCCUAAUGUGCUUGGAGGAGAAGUAGCUUCUGUACCCGCAACGGCUGUGGUAGCCGAUGGAGCUGUAACCAAUGAUGACCCUGGCUGAUGAUAGGCAGGACCCAUAUAAGAUGGUGGUACUUGUCCUUCUUUGAAAGUUCUAGCCACAGCGUUGAAAACCGUAUUGGACAGUACACCAGAUUGAUUGAUCAGAGCACGGUUGACAGCACUAUCAACCAUCUCUUGCAAUUUACCAGGAUUUGCUUCGAAAGUAAUUUGCCGAGGCAUCGGCAAUGCUUCCUUCUGGAUCACUUCGCCACUCCUAUUGAUGCUGAAGGAUUUGAAGCAUAACUGCUUGUAGUCCUCCAUAGCUUUUGCCAUAGCUUGCUUCUGCUCAUCUCUGAGAUUGGCUCCGUCACAGGGAUGACGUUCUCCAAGUCGAAGUUGGUGUUCGACAUGUUGAUCUUGAUCUUUAAUCUUUGUCCCACUAGGCGUGCCAAAAGAUGUGUUGAUGCAAAAGCUGAUCUGCAAACACAAAGGGCUAAUACCCGAUUCAAACGUUAAGGCGUGCCAACCGAUUUGACCUUACAACCGACAAAGGUGGUAUCUCGAACACUUUGGUCCCGACAACAGCGAUGCGCUCGAAUGUCACGGCCAAGAGGUGCUCACGUGGAACUCGAGAAUUCGUCGAGAUUGACUCGAAGAAUCCUUAAGAACUCAUAAUAAAAAGAAAAUAUGACGAAGUCGUCGAAAAAGUAGAUGCAGGAAUAUGUGUAAAAACUUGUGUUUGAUUGAUUGAUAGAUAUAUCAUUACAUUGCCACGGGGUCUAUAUUUAUACCCUGCCUCAAAGAGCUACAAUCAUACACGACUAGGACUCAAACUCCAUAUUAAACAAAAUCUGUAUACAAAACAAACUCUAAUAACUAUGGAAAGCAUUAAAUUAUCCUCCACAACCGAUCGGUACACCAUCACGAGUCAAUCGGCAAUCCCUGCGCUUUUCUUCAUAACCAUCAGCAGACCACCUCUCACAGCCAUCGGCAGCCAUCAAUACUAGUCAUCGGCACGAACCCAUCACCACUCUUGGACUUGGUCAUAUUAUGUCGUUUUCCCAUCGGCACCAAACCUCAUCGACAACUCUUCUGUAGACCAGUCACCACUUGUCCGCCUACCGAUCUACACUUCAUUAACUCCAGACACGCAUCUAAAGAUAUGUGUCCAAAAACGGUGUCAACAAUUACUCAGUUGUAUAAGCAUUGGUGGGAAGAAUGGAAGGAGCAUCUGUUCAGGGCAUCGGCUCAUACAUACCGCGGCAUGAUCGACCCCGACUACAAAGUCUCCGAUAACAUUGUAAGUCUUUUACCGAUACCUCAGUUCCUUUGUUAUCUUUAAUCUUAUCGGCAACUUAUUUGCUUUUUAUUUCAAUAGGUCGAUAACCCAGCACCGAUGAUUAGCAGAAGUGGGAGGCCGAUUGAACUUCUUCAAUCAGGCCCAAUUUCUCUGAUCGGCCACAAUGCGCCAAGUCUAGCAGCCCUGAUGCAUCGAAACGUGCGCUUCAAGAAGACGACCACCAAACGGUCGAAAGUAACUCCAUCGGUUGCUACUGCUACCCUGGCACAGGCUUUUAAGGUAAAACUCUUAAUAUUUUUAUAUCGAAUUCAUCCCAUACUCACUUCAUCUUUUCAGGGUACAUCGGCUGCAACGGGAACUUCAUCGGUAACUUUCAUUUUCUAUUAAAACUUCAUCAGUACCUUUUCUUAUAUCUAACUCAUGAAAUUUUAUUUUCUGUAAUAGUAGACUAGCAAAUCAGAAAAAACCAAGAGUGCUCAAACAUCGGGUGCCGAUGCCCCCCAGCCCAGUCAAGCUCCAACCAAGAGAAGGGUCCUAAAAGCACCAAGACCCAGCCGAAGCGCCAUAAGACAGCACCAUCUUCUCCACCUCGUCCAGUAUCCCCGAUCCAAGUAGCAUCUUAUCCUUCUCCACCGGAACCCCAGACGCAAGAAGUACCUUCUCCUCCUCGACCAGUACCCCAACCACAAGAAGCACCAGCCGAUGUUUCUGAACAGAUUGCCGAUCCGGCUGAUUUGGGCACAUCAUCGGCCGUCCCUCUAGAACAGACAAUCACUAUACCUCCUCAAGGUAAAGUACUGAUCACAGAAUUAUUACCGAUGAAUUUAUCUUAUAAACUAUAAUCAUCCUUGUAACUUUUCAGUUGAAGUCAUUCCAUUGGCAACCCCAGCCGAUCAAACUAUAGUUCCAGCUACAUCUCCACGUCAGAGGUAGGAAAUCGCCCUAAAGCAAGUAAGUUAUCUAGUUUUCAGGCUUCACAUUAUCAACACUUAAUCUUGAAUAACUUAUCUUCUUCUUUUUCUAGGAACAAGACUCCCAGACAGCCUAUUCUGCUUUGCUAUCGACAUCUUCGAUGAUGAAGGCGAAGAAGCAUGCAGCUCUUCUCAGGCAGUUGGAAUCUCAUCAGUAGAGAUUAAAGCCAGGUUGGAAGACUUAUUAGCUUUAUUGCACCAAGACACUGCUCAGCUAGUGGAUGAUUCCGAUCCGGCCAAAGUCAUAUUCAAGACCCUCCGUGGUCAAAUUCAGCCGAUGCAGAAGAAGUCCUCUUCCAAGCUGCUCAUCUGGAAAGCCGCCAACUCUGGUAUCACAAGGCUAACCAACGCCUUUCCGAUUGGGUUGCUCAUGCCUGGCUUACAGAGGAGAUGCUACAAAGCGUGCUGCCGAUGAGAAACACAAAAGCAUCAACAUUCUGCAAUCCUCAGGGUAUGAGCUAAAACAAAAGAUCUCCACUCUAUCGGCAAAAAGAGAAGCCUUGCUAGCCGAACUUAAGCAAGUGGAAGAGGCCACUCAAGCUCAGCAAGAAGAAAGCCAACUGCCCGAUGCGCUCAAAACUCUUCAGCAAGAGAGAGACAUCCAAGCUCGCAAAGCACUACAGAUGAGGAAGAAACUGAAGCCGGUGGAGGGUUCUGCCGAUGAAGACACCCGAGAAAUAGAAGAGGCCAACCAGAUCCGUCUGCGCGCCAUAUCAGCCAUCCAAGCUCUGUUGAACCUGUGAACUCUUCAUCGAUAACUUGUUCACUUCUGCUUUCAAAAACUUUUAAUUAUUUUGGUCUAGCCGAUAGGACUGUUAUCGGCACUCAAACACUAUGCAUGGUCCCAGAUACAUUUUGUCCAGCCAAUAGGAUUAUUAUCGCCAUUUGAACUUCUAUGCAUCAAUCCAGAUACUAGGAUAGUAUCUCUUUAAAUAUUUUCCAUUUAAUGCUCUAGGAAAUUCAACUCCUUCAAGAGUUUCUAAAAUAUAAACAUUGCUAGGUGCAGAUCGAUUUACUCGAUAAGGACCCUCCCAAUUAGGAGACCAUUUUCCAAACUUUGAACUUUUAGUCCCGAUCGGUAAAAUCAACUUCCACACCAAAUCUCCAUCAGCAAACUCCUUGGCCUUUACCUUCUUAUCAUACCAUUCAGCAACUCUCUUUUUAUUUUCUUCUAUGCUAAUUAAAGCCUUCAACCGAUGCCCUGCUAAAUCAUCCAACUCAUCUUUCAUUAAAGUGGCAUAGUCAUCGGCAUUUAGCUCAUCCUGAGAAAAGAUCCGCCUUUAAAGUGGCAUAGUCAUCGGCAUUUAGCUCAUCCUGAGAAAAGAUCCGCCUGGAACCAAUUUUUAUCUCCCAUGGUAAUACCGCAUCAUGCCCAUACACCAAUUGAUAAGGUGAGACUUUGGUUGAGCCAUGACACGCCAUCCGAUAUGACCACAAAGCUUCAUUUAACAAUGUGUGCCACCUCCUAGGAUUUUCUUCAAUUUUCCGCUUGAUGAGUUUAAUGAUCCCUUUGUUAGAAGCUUCGGCUUGCCCGUUAGCUUGAGCAUAGUAAGGAGAAGAAUUCAACACCUUAAUCCCCAUACCGAUUGCAAACUCAUCAAAUUCCCCUGAUGUAAACAUAGUACCCUGAUCGGUAGUAUUCGUUUGGAGAAUACCAAAUUUGUAAAUAAUAUGCUCCUUCACAAAAUCAAUCAUAUUGGCCGAUGUUACUUUCUUCAAAGGAAUAGCCUCACCCAUUUGGUAAAAUAAUCAGUGGCAACUAAGAUAAACUUAUGCCCCUUGCUUGAUGGUGGAUAAAUCUGACUGAUGAGAUCAAUAGCCCAGCCCCGAAACGGCCAAAGUUUAAUAAUGGGAUUCAUGGCUGAUGUGGGUGCCCUUUGAAUAUUGCCUAACUUCUGACAUCCUUGACAUCCUUUGAAAUAUUUAAAGCAAUCUUCAAGUAUAGUCGGCCAAUAAUAUCCGUUUCUCCUAAUCAUCCACUUCAUCUUGAAAGUCGAUUGAUGUGCUCCACACACUCCAUGAAUUUCACCCAUCAAGCUUCUAGAUUCAUCAUCACCCAAACACUUAAGCAAGACUCCAUCUAUCGUUCGAUAAUAUAGCUCUUCUUCAAGGAGUACAUACUUCGUAGCUUGAAACCUAACACGCCUCUCAACUUUCCUGGAUGGAUCUUUGAAAUAAUCAGUAAUUUCCUUUCUCCAAUCAUCGGCACUGACUGCUGAUAAUAUGUCCAAGAUGGGUUCAUACCCUGAGGCGUGUUGAGCCAAUCGGUUGGCUUCUUCAUUAUGUAACCAAGGAAUAUGCUCUAAUUGGAAAUCCUUGAAUUCCUUUAACUCUUGCACACAUUUUUCAUAACAAGCUAUUAAAACCUCAUUUCGGCAUUCAUAAACUCCAGCCAAUUGGUUUAUAACAAGCAUGGAAUCACCAAAAAUUUCAACAGCGUCAGCAUGAACCUCCUUUAAUAAUUCUAAUCCUUUGAUCAAACCUUGGUACUCAGCUUGAUUAUUUGUUGACGCGGCAUCAAUCGGCAAAGAAAACUCAUACUUCUUUCCCCGAGGAGAAAUUAGUACUAUACCGAUUCCUGCCCCCCGGUCACAUGUAGAUCCAUCAAAUAAGAGUGUCCAAGGAACAAUUUCCAAACCAUCCACUACGCCGCAAUGCUGAGUUACAAAAUCAGCCAUAAUCUGCCCUUUAACCGCUUUAGCUGAUUCGUAUCGUAGAUCAAAUUCCGACAAUGCUAAUAUCCACUUGCCGAUUCUACCACUCAUAAUCGGCAUUGAUAACAUGUAUCGGACCACAUCAUCUUUGCAUAUGACAGUGCAUUCGGCCGACAACAAGUAAUGUCUCAAUUUAACGCAAGAAAAGUAUAAGCAUAAGCACAACUUCUCAAUUGCCAAAUAUCUUGUUUCAGCAUCCACCAAUCUUCUACUUAAAUAAAAAAUCACACGCUCCUUCCCCUCAAAUUUCUGAUUGAGAGCCGAACAGAUGACCAUAUCAUCGGUAGACAAAUAUAAUCUGAAGAGCUUUCCUUGUUGCGGUGGAACCAAAACUAGAGGGUUUGUCAAGUAAUUCUUGAUUUCAUCCAAGGCUAACUGUUGCUCUUUUCCCCAUACAAAUUCUUGACCGGCUCUUAACUUAAGCAAAGGACUAAAAGCACGAACCUUACCUGACAAAUUAGAUAUAAAUCGUUUGAUAAAAUUAAUCUUGCCGAUCAACGAUUGAAGUUCAAUUAUAUUGGUGGGAGCAACUAUCUUAUUGAUGGUAUCAAUGGAUCUUCUACUAAUUUCAAUCCCUCUUUGAUUUACCAUGAAACCAAGAAACUGUCCUACCGAUACGCCGAAGGCACAUUUAUUAGGAUUCAUCUUCAAGCCAUGUUUCCUUGUGCACUCCAGUACUUUUCGCAGAUCGGCUAGAUGCUUUAUGAAAUCUCCAGACCUAACCACUACAUCAUCAAUAUAGAUUUACACCAAUUUGCCAAUGUAUUCGUGGAAAAUAAAAUUUAUGGCUCUCUGAUAAGUAGCACCAGCAUUUUUCAAGCAAAAAGUCAUGACUAUCCAUUCAAACAAUCCAACAUGACCAGGGACAUCUAAAUGCAGUCUUAGGAAUAUCUUCUUCAGCCAUGAAUAUUUGAUUGUAUCCUGCAUUGUCAUCCAUAAAGCUAACAAUCCGAUGUCCAGCUGCAGCAUCAACCAACAGAUCGGCAACUGGCAUUGGAUAACCAUCCAUCGGCGUAGCUUUAUUGAGGUUCCUAAAGUCAAUGCAAACACAAAGCUUUCCAUUCUUCUUAUACACCGGGACAACAUUAGAAAUCCAUUCGGCAUACCGACAUUGCCGAAUAAAUUUAGCUUCAAUAAGUUUAGUUAUUUCAGCCUUAAUAUCAGGGAGUAUAUUAGGAUUGCAUCGGCGUGCUGGCUGCUGAUGCGGUGUGGCAGAACCUCCUAAGUAGUUGGGCCCACUAACACCUGUCAUUGUCCCAAGGACCUCUGACGGUGAUGUCGGGGAUCCUUCUACUUUACAAGCCUGAUGAGUAUCCAAGGAUGCUCAUUCCACUGCUACCUGUGGCGUAACUGUUGACGGUCCUUAAGUACCAAAUAUAAUCAUCAAAUAAAUAAAGAAAAGGAUCCAAAUGCAACCAACACCCAGACUUAGGGUUUUAUCUGAUAGAAUUCCAUGAGUUUUGGUGUUUGUCUAUUUCUGUAGGGGGUUAUCAGGAAAUAUGGAAGAAAGAUCCACACGUCGGGAUUACAUAGAGAUAUUAACGUGCCGCGCAAUUUUCUAUCAUCUAGAAGACUCCAGAAGCCACGGGAACAAAUGAGAAGGCGAACGGGCCCGGGGGCAGGGCGCCCACCCACCCCCCUUGGGCGCCCGCCAGGAGUUGUAGUCAAACACGUCCAACUUUGCGGACCAAGCUCCACCGACCUAAAGGAUCAAGGAUAACCGUCCAAUCAAUGUCGGUUUGAUCCAAUGGCUCACGUUCACUUUAGGGGACUAUAAAACCAGACGCCCUGGCCCCUGGAGGAGACAAGUUCAUCAGAGAGUUGAGAGGAGCCCUCGAAGGAAUACCUCUCCUCUAAAUAAAAUUUCUUUUAGGCUUAGCAUCCAAUAUGAGUAGAAGUAGAUCUUCAAGUUUCUACUAGAUUGAGAGAUACAGAGUGGAGGUGUAGAUCGGAGGAAGCCCGGCCUGUCGGUGUCUACUCCGAGGUUGUACCUGCGGGAUCAAGUCUUCUAACCCGAGGCUUGCUCCUAGGAUUCUUCGGUAAUUCGACCUCUAAUUCUAGUAAGUUCUUGUUUUAUUGUUCUUUGGUUUAUGAGUUUACUUUAAUCUCUUCCGGUUGAGUAUUAGAGUAAUCAUUGCUAGCGUAAACGUGGUGUUUAGGCUAGGGUACUCAUAGAUAUCCCCUGACUAGCUGGACCAUAGUAGUAGCGAGGAACGUGACAUUUCCGAGUUACCUUUGUAUCCCACAUCUCGUUAGCAGGACGGGUAGGUGUAUAGGUGCGGGUCGAACAUCCUUUGUGGUGUCUAGAUUCCGUAAGCUUCCCCAAUAGAACAGUAGAUCAUCCUUACUAAGGUUAGAACGAGACUACGGUUGCAGUCUUCUCUAUACAUCACUCACAUCGAGAAACAUUCUUUGUAGCCUAAAAGGAUAGUAGCAAUAGAUUUGGUUAGUCAGAUGCACCCUUUCUCCCAGUGGUAAAAAUAUAAAUACGAUACUCUGGAAAACCUCCCAGGUGAAAUGUUCACCGAUAUCCGUGCGCUUGCGGAUCAAUUUCUUAUUGCGUUACCAAAUAUCAACAAGCAUUUCUGGCGCCGUUGCCGGGGAGAAAGAUGGUUUGCUGAGAUAACUCUUAGUCUUGCUAUUAUCUUGUAUUAUACUUUUAUACUUUUAUUAUUUUAUCUUUUUAUUUUUAUCUUUAUGGAUAACUCAAAUUCCAUACCUAUUAUUGAAUUCUUUGCACCUUCGGAGACCAGUCAUAGACCAUGGGAGUCCACAAGUCCUGCCCCUAAUUAUGAUCUGUGUCCGGAGUUGAUUGCAAUAGGUCAAAACCAACCCUUUUCUAUAGCUGAGGUCCUAUCUUUUAAUCAAGAAGAUAAUGAACUUUUAGCUACACCUAGGGAAUCUUUUAAUCUUUCUAUAAAUUUUGGUUUAGACCUAGCCCUACAAGACCAUGUUUUUUCUUGAUAUUUUCACAUUGGUCUUAAUCAUAUAACCUUUGAUAGAGUCUUUCUUUCUUUAUCUAUUAGUAAAGGAAGGUAUGUCUUCAUUUGUGGACAUCCCUCUUGCACUAAUCUUCAUAAAAAAUUCCUAGAGAUAGAGAAGGAAUCAUCUCCCAGACAAGGAAAGGAAGUUUCAAUAGCCGAUUUCCAAACAUUUCAAUCCCAUGAUUCGGCUAUCCAAUCCAUCCUUGAGCUUAAUAAUUUCUACUAUGCUCUUUCUCUUGAACCUCCCGAUAAUCCUAUGAAUCUCUCUAGACAUCCCAUUCAUAAGAGUCACCAAGACCACAAGGAGGAUUGAGAAGAGCAACAUCAAUGGCUAGAGGGCAUUAAAAAUCCAUGUGCUAUCACCAUUGAAUGCAUAGAUAAAACAAACUUGAGAGACAAUCCUAGAGGAAUUUUAAGCAUUCAUGAAGAAUCAUCCUUGGAGUUUGAGAAUGAGAGCAACAACAGUGAGCAUGGAAGUUAUUUCAUAAAUACCUCACCCAGUCCUUGCUCAUAUAAAACAUCUCUCCAAUCAAUUGGUAUCUCCAUCCUUAUCACAUUUGAGAUCUUCAACCCCCUCUUCUUUUCUAUUUAUAACAACUUUAAAAGGGUGGUUGUCGAUGCAUAUGUCUAUAAUAAAUAUUGCAGAUCUCGUUGAGUUGAUCUUGAUGUAGGUCAACGUUGGACGGGAAACCACUUCGCUGACAUAAAUUGAUGGUUUCCCAAGGACAAGUUUAGUGUCCUAAAACAAGCACCUAUCAGAUUGUGACAUGAACUUCUAAUUAUUUGCAACAUUGCCUUGUGUAUUGAGCAUAUAAAGAUAAUUGUAGAAAUAUUCCUUCGGGUAUUCGUGUCACUAACCUUACUAGGAUUGGAGCAAGAAGAUCCGAGGAAUGACAAGCACAAGGUAUGUCCAACCAACCAUCACACAACAUUGAAUUUAAUUCAUCCAAUCUUGAAUUUUGCAAAAUUCAAGCUUGGGGGAGUACUUUACAUAAAAACAUCCUUUGCGAUGUUGCUAUGUUGGUUGUCCUUACCUUUGAGACAUGCUCAAUUUGUUAAAUCACACUACUUCAUCUCCACUUGAGUAGAUCUCUAUAAAAGCCAUCAUGUUACCUUUGUUUAUCCUAGUAAGUGUUAGUUUGGAAGUACUGGACAUACUUUCAUUGGCAUUUAAAUUAAGCGUGGUGCUUAGGUUAAAUAGCCUUCCUUAAUUUGAUUAGACAUGGAGUCUAGUUUGGUUACUGAACUAAAAACUGCUUGAGUAGGCAUUGGUAUAUUUUGUCGGACUAACCCCUGCAGGAAAACUUUCAAUAUCAACCUGGGAAAUCCUGAGAUACAAACUCAUUGGAGACAAAGGAGACACAUAAAGUUUAACGAUUUGCACAAGGAAGACAUAGCUCAUUUAUCAUAGAGAGAUGAUCCAUGGAACGAGACAAAGAAUGCCACAAACACAGUGCACAACCGCUAAGAAAGGAAAGCUUCUACAAGGUGAUACUGUACCAUCACUCUUCAAUUAAGGUAACAUCUUAAAGUACUUGAUUAUCACUUUUAUAAGCUUCUCCUUGGUUCUGGCAUUCACAUAAAUAAAGAGACAAACAUGUAAGAUUUAUAACUCUAAAUUAACCAACUCAACUGAUUCAACAUGUUUAGUCCUUUAAUCUUUGUUCUUAGUACUACCUUCAUGAUCCCACACUCCUCAUCAUAUAAGCUAAUAUGUUGCACAUUCAAUCUUUGAAAGAUAUAAACAAAAUAUAGAUAGAUUAUCUUUCCAUUAGGUCGAGCAAUCUGAUCUGACAAAUGUUUUAAAUGCUACACUCAUGAUCUUAUUAUCCAUCAACUUUGUCUUGCUCACUAUGCUUAAGGCAAGAGAAGAACAAAUACACUUUUGGUUCUGUUGGUGUUUUCCACCAACAGGGCCCAUGCACUUGAUCUCUACCUUGUCUCUAUGAGCGGGUACACUUCGAGUAUAAUAUGAAGGAGUUUUACAACUCCCAGACUCCACCAAGUAAAGGGCUUGGAUCUACGAGCACAAACACAAUGGAGAUACUGGACACUCAGGCAAUCACUGCCCUGAGAUGCUUGAGGACGUAAACUACAACUACUACUACUACAACCGUCCUCAAUAAAAUCAAGACUUCAUGGUGAUAGAGACUGGUAUCCUAGGGAGGCCAUUCCUGAACACCUCGGGCUGUCAUCUACGCUAGUGCUACCAAGAUCAGUUUCCACAUCAAGGGGAAGAAGGAGAUUUUCCUUCAAGAACAAGACUACAUAAAUUUUGGAGCAAUCCCGACAUGAACAAAGGGAGAGGACCAACAGGAGGAAUAGGAACAAGCAAAUGUGGACCGAGUCAGUUACGAUGGUCACUACAGCUCAAGGAAGUCAAGAUCGUCGACUCAAGUCGCCUUUCCUGAUCAAGAAGGACGACCCUGGUGUUCCAAGCAUCAAGUGCACAAUCAAUGGAUACUCUUUUCAGAAGACACUCUACGACACCGGAUCUGACGACAACAUAAUGGCUGCAGUCACUUAUCAGCUCCUGCAUGGAACCAUGCCCCUACAGCCAACAUACUUUCAGCUCCAGAUGAUUUUCAGGUCAUUGACAUGGGAGAAGACGAGUAUGAUCCAUCCACCAUCCUUGGAAAACCGUUCCUCAACACCAUCAAAGCCAUCAUCUAUAUUGGAACCAGAGAAGUCCACAUGCACUUCCCCUCUAAGAAGGUACGCUGCUAUUUUACUGACCCUAACCAUAUAGUUGAAGACUCUAAGCAGGUCAGGACAAGAAGAAGACAAUGCAACCAGAGGAGGCAAAUCAUCAAGGACGGAUGGGCAGACUACAAAGGAAAAGUGGAAAGGUCUGAAGACAUACGGCUUGAACAGAACUGUCCUGAGGAGACCGUAGCAUCGAGUCAGGUGUGGAGGGAGAAGAUAGUUAUACACGAAGAGGUUGCGCUGCCGGAACGACCGACUACGCCAUCCAGCGAAUCCUAGGACGACUGAGAAAACAGAGAGUCCCGUUCGAAGGACUUAAAAAUACCGAACGUCUUGCUAAGAGGUAAACUUGGUAGUCAUCCUUUUCCCUUCAAUUAUUUAAAAUAGUUUGCUUAGUUAAUCAGGUUCAUAUCAUCUCGAAAAGAAAAUAGUAAGCCCCAUGUGAAUAUGCUCAUGGCAUAAAACUCAUAAGUACAUUCACUGUGGUGGCGUAAAAAUAAAAUAAAUAUAUUCCUGUCCUAUAACAAUAAAAAUAUAAAAAUAAUAAGUGCAUGAUCCUGCUAAGUAAAUAACAUUAAUUGAGGAAGCUCAAUAUGAUAAAGGCAAAGAGAUUUUAUGCUAACACUUAACUAGUUCCACAAAGCUUUGUUGUCUAUUUGAGCUCCACAGAAUUUAAGGAUCAAAGAAGGCUAGCAGACGGAGGACAUCCUAAUCGCUGUCAGGGUGCUGCCGACAUUCAAAUACACCUCCGCCACCUGCUAGCUACAUUAGAAGAAAUUACGUCAAAAUCCAGCUUGGGGGAGAGCACCCCCAUUUAUCCAGCUAAGUGUUUCUACUCGCGUUUAUACUUUACUCAAAUAAUAAAAUGAUGCAUAAUCAUAAAAACCCAAAUAAAGAUUUUGUGCUUUUAUAUAUAUCUUUGCUUAGUUUGCUAAAUAAAUAAAUAAAUAAAGUUUGCUAUGAACCCUCAUGAUAAGCUCUCACAUGGAAAUGAUGAAUAGUUGCUGUGCCAUAUACCUAGUUUUCAAGUUUGAGCUCUCUUUCAAGUUUAGGCAUAACUGUUAUAAUUUAAACGUACUCUAAACCUAAACUUGUGGGAAGAGUACUUGAUGUUGACACUUGCUAACACCACUUGAAUACUAGGUUGUCAUCCCCAGCAUGGCACUAGAGUGUACUAUGGUAUUUAUACGCACACAGAUAAUCCGCAAGCGCACGGAUACCGUUGAAGCUUUUACCCGGUUAAAGGUUUUAUCGUAUCCACAGGGAAACGGGAGAACCAACUACGCUCUAACUUAACCAAGAUAGAUUAGAUAGGUGUAAAUAGGAAAGAUGGUAGAAUUGAACAAGAACAAUAUUAAAGGUAAGAUAACAAUAGGUGAUAAUAUGGGAAUAGAGAGUAGAGCAAUUCUAGUAUAUGGGCGAUGGUAGCAGAAUAGAGAGGAUAACUAUGGUUUCUCUACUUCAAAGGGGUAUGUCUAUGUCUGGGACGAACCACGUGAUAAGAUUACACCACAAAGGAUGCUUAUCCAUAGGCCGAUAAACCCUACCCGUCCUGCUAACGAGAGGUGGACUACAGAGGACCAACGUAACUGUCACCUACGCGGCCUACCACACGAUCCAGCUAGACAGGGGAUAUCCACAAGUAAUCUAGAUCUAAGCACCUCGCUUACACCUAUACUACAACUCUAACCUAUAGCGUCCUAUAGAUUAGAAGUACUCAAAAGAGUUGUGAACCAGAACGUACAUAAUUAGUAAUUGCAUAAUGAAUUAGAAGUAGAUUACCAGAGUCAUCCCAUGAGCAAGCUUGAUUAGAGCUUGAUCAUGACGAAGUACAACCGGAGGAAGAACCGAUGGGCCGGCCUCUCCUCUAAUCCUCCUUCGCUCUCCAUCUUGCUACUAUCUAGAUCUACUCUAGUUUAGAGAAGAGAGGAGAGCUCUCAUCUCUAAACCCUAGCUUUUGCUCUGUCUAUGAAUAAUGAAUAAUGAUCAAGGGGUGCCUCCUCCAGGGGCCAGGGGGUCUGGUUAUAUAGUCUUUUCAGAUGAAUCUGGGCCGUCGGAUCAAACCGACAUUGAUCGUGUGGGUUUCCUUGAAGUAUUAGGUCGGUGGAGCAUGAUCCGCGAAGUUGAAGCUGAUUGGUUACUGUAGCUAGGCGGGCACCCAAGGGACUUGGGCGGGCGCCCUGCCCCCGGGCCCGAUCGGCCUCCCGUUCGUUCCCGUGGCUUCUAGAAUCUUCUAGAUGGUAGAAAAUUGCGCGGCACGUUAAUAUCUCUAUGUAAACCCAACAUGUGGGCCUUUCCUUCAUAUUUCCUGAUAACCCCCCUGCAGAAAUAGACAAACACCAAAACUCAUGGAAUUCUGUCAGAUAAAACCCUAAGUCUGGGUGUUGGUUGCAUUUGGAUCCUUUUCUUUGUUUAUUUGAUAGUUAAAUUUGAUACUUAAGGACCGUCAACAAACUCCCCCAAGCUUACCUCUUGCUCGUCCCUGAGCAAGGAUAGACUCAACAAUUGAUCAGAAGUUGUUGCAAUAUCUUAAAAAUUUGACGGUACACAUGCUUUUAAAUAAGAUCUCAUCUCUGAGUUAGAGUAAACUGUCAAGAACUAAAACUUACUUACUUUACCUUUCACCAUGGGACUUGUAACCGUCACUUCUGUCUUGAGUAGUUGAAAGAUAGAACAGUCUAGCUAAGUGCCAUGUCUCUUAUUCUUGAUCAGCUAUAGCUCUGGAGUUUUUGCAGAUUUUCAAAUAAAACUCAGAGAUUCCUUGUAUGACUCUCUAAAUCUCUCUUUUGUGGUAUUUCUGGAUCCUUACCAAGGCAGUGAUGGUAUAUGCCUUCUCUCAAGAUAUGUGGUAUUUGUGGUAUAAGGCAUAGUGACAUUGCCUUCUCUCUCACCCUACUCUAAUAAGGCUUUAAUAUCUGGAGCUCAUAGGUGGGAGAUAAAGUAUACAUACUUACAAGACAUUUAUUGUAUAGUCAAACCAUGGAUCCAAAGAAACAAAUCAAUAAGCCAAAUCAAGAUGUGCAUGUGUGGCGAAUGAAUGGUAUAUGGUGAUGAUGGUGAUAACAAUGGUGAAAGUCCAAUUCUACUUUUGCUCUUUUGAGGGGAUACAUACCUUCCUUGCUUUUUGAAAUUUUAUGAGGAGAAUGAGAUGCUCUAUCUUUCAUUUUUCUUUCCUCUCAGGUGGGUAUCUUGUACCCCUAAUUCUACUGUCGGACACUUGUCCAUUUUUACCUCUCGUCUCACUCUUUUUUCUUUUCUUUCGAGGUUCCGGGCACUUGCCCCUUUUUAUUUCCUCGUUUAUUUAUUUUUUUUCUUUUCUUCUCUUUUCUUUUUUUCAGAGCACUCAUCUCUUGAGAUAAUAUAGCAAGUGGUAGUAGCAAGAUAACUUGAGCAUUUAUUUCACAAGGAAAAACAGAAAUAUUUUUGGUUAUUCUCUCCCGGAUUAGGAGUUGAAUAUUUUUGGGUGGUUCUAGAGAUGGAAAUGAGUGGAUAUAUGUGGAUGGUACUUCCGGAGUAGAGGUAGCAUAUAUGAGUGAAUGUGCAAGUGAAAUCUUGAUUUAACCACAUGACAAGCUCCUAAGGGUCUACACAGCUUGACCACACUCAAUGCUCAUAAGCAGUAAAUAGUAAAUGUGUGGCUCAAAGUCUAGCAAGCAUGUAUAUAUGGCUGUGGUAGGAAUUUAAACUUUUCAUCAUACAGGAACUCAUCAUGCAAUAUUUUAAAGAUUUUUCAAAGAUAAAAUUCUCCAGAAUUAUAGCAUCUCUAGGAACAGAUAAACAGCAGCUCAACCUUCCCAUAUCAUAUCCGUUAACAACUUAGAUUUUAGAUCAAGUUUUCAUCCCACAAGUUUAGAUCUAGAGCAAGCUUUAAAUUAUAACAUUUAUGUCUAAACUUGAGAGAGAACUUCAAAUUUGCAAAUUAGGCAGAGCAACUAUUCAUCAUUUCCAUGCUAGAGUUUUAUUAUUAAGAUUCAGAUUAGCAUAGCCACUUUAUUUAUUUAUUAAACACACUAAGCAAAAGAUAUAUAUAUAAGAACAAAAUCUUUAUUUGGUUUUUUCAUAGUUUAUGUAUUUUAAUAUUCUAAUAAUAUAAGUAUAAAGAUAGGUAGAAAUACUUAGCGAGAUAAAUGGGGGUGCUCUCCCCCAAGCUGAAUUUUGACAUAAUUUCUCUUGAUGUAGCUAGCAGGUGGCAGAGGUGUAUUUGAAAGUCGGCAGCAUUCUGACAGCGAUUAGAAUGUCCUCCGUCUGCUAGUCUUCUUUAUUCUUAAAUUCUGUGGAGCCCAAAUAGACAACAAAGCUUGUGGAACUAAUUAAGUGUUAGUAUAAAUAUCUAGCCUUCAUCAUGUUGAGCUUCCUCAAUAAAUAUUACGCCCUGUUUUUAUAUUUUUUUUUAUAAAGCAGAAAAGAAAUAUUUAUUUUAUUUUUAUGCCACCACAGUGAAGGUACUUAUGGGUUUAUGCCACUCGUAGACUCACAUGGGGCUUAGUAUUUUUUAACAUUUUUAUUUUCUUUUCAAGAUAGCAUGAUUAACUAAUAAUCUAUUUAAGGAAAGUAAAUAAUUAAAGGGAAAAGGGAAUGCAGAAAGGAUAAAUAUGGAUAACUACUGAUCUUACCUUUCGGCGAGGGUUCAAUGUUUUAAGUCUUCUUAACAAGACUUCUCACCAUGUUCAUUCUUCAGGUGCGUCAUUUGAUUCAGGUGCGGACCUUGACGUCUGCACCUCUUCGUUUGCUCAGCAGUUCGAAGUGCGGCGUUGGCAGUAACCUGCUCAGUGUGUUUGUGCUCUUAGAUCCAGGUCCUUCACUUGGUAGAGUCUGAGAGUUAUAAAACUCCUCCGUGUUUUGCUCAAAGUGUACCUGCUCAAAGAGACAACGCAGAGAUCAAGUGCAUGGGUCCUGUUGGUGGAAAACACCAACAACAGAACCUAAAGUGUAUUUGUUCUUCUCUAACCCUAAGCAUAGUGAGCAAGACAAAGUUGAUGGAUGAAAAGUUCAUGAGUGUAGCACUUAUAACAUUUGUCAGAUCAGAUCGCUCAACCUUAUAGAAAGAUAAUCUAUGUAUAUGUCCUUUUCUUUAUAUCUCUCAAUGAUUGAAUGUGUAACAUUUUAGCUCAUAUGAUUAGGAGUAUGGGAUCAUGGAGGUAGUACUAAGAACAAGGAUUAAAGGACUAAACAUGUUGAAUCAGUUGGGUUGGUUAAUCUAGAGUUGUCAAUCAUACAUGUUUGUCUCUUUUAUUUAUAUGAACGUCAGAACCAAGGAGAAGCUUAUAAAAGUGAUAGUCAAGAACCUUAAGAUGUUACCUUGCUUGAAGAGUGAUGGUGUAGUAUCACCUUGUGGAAGCUUUCCUUUCUUAGUGGUUGUGCAUCGUGUUUGUGGCACCCUCCAUGGAUCAUCUCUUUAUGAUAAAUGAGCUAUGUCCUUCUUGUGCAAAUUGUUAAACUUCAUGUGUCACUCUCUUCGUCUCUGAUGUGAGUUUAUCUCAGGACUUUCCAAAUCGAUAUUGGAAGUAUUUCUACAGGGGUUAGUCCGACAAAAAUAUACCAAUGUCUACACAAGCAGUUUUUAGUUCAAUAACCGAACUAGACUCCAUGUCUAAUCAGAUUAAGGAAGGCUGUUUAACCUAAGCACCAUGCUUAAUUUAAAAGCCAAUAGAAGUAUGUGCAGUACUUCCAAACUAACACUUGCUAUUAAAUAGGCAAAGGUAACAUGACAGCAUUUAUAGAGAUCUACUCAAGUGGAGAUGAAGUAGUGUGAUUAUUAUUUAACAAAUUGAGCAUGUCUUAAAGGUAGGGACAACCAACAUAGCAACAUGGCAAAGGAUGUUCUUAUGUAAAGUACUCCCCCAAGCUUGAAUUUUGCAGAUAUCAAGUUUGGACGAAUUUAAUUCAAUGUUGUAUGAUGAUUGGUUGGACAUACCUUGUGCUGUCAUUCAUCCGAUCUUCUUGCUCCAAUCCUGUAAAGGUUAGUGACAAGAAUACCCGAAGGAAUAUUUUUACAAUUAUCCUUAUAUGCUCAAUACACAAGGUAAUGUUGCAAAUAAUUAAAAACUCAUGUUACGAUCUGAUCAGCGCUUAUUUUAGGACACCAAGCUUGUCCUUGGGAAACCAUCAAUUUAUGUCGGCGAAGUGGUUUCCCUUCCAACGCUGACCUAUAUCAAGAUCAACUCAACGAGAUCUGCAAUAUUUAUUAUAGACAUAUGCAUCGACAACCGCCCUUUUAAAGUUUUUAUUAAUAGAAAGGAAGAGGGGGUUGGAGAUCUCAAAUGUGGUGAUGUUGGAGAGACCAAUAGAAUGGGAAGAUGUUGCAUUUGAGCAUGGAGUAAUUGAAGUGGUUAUGAAAUAAAUUCUAUGCUCAUUAAUGUUAUCUUCGUCUCCAAUCUAAAUGUUCGGAGUUUCUCUUGGAUUGGUCUCAUUUAUGUCCUCUUCUGUAGUUGGAUGAAUCUCAUCUUCAACGGGAGUCAAGAACUCAUCAUUUGGAAUUGAGCCAAAGUCAGAAUCCAUUAAGGCUUCUUCCUUAUCCAUCCAUUCUACACAUUCUAACCAUUUAGAACUUGUGAUCAAGAAAGGGGAGGUGUUAGAAUUUUCUAUAUGGCUUAGCUCUCCUUCACUUGAUAUGUCAUCCUCGACUUCUUCAUAAUAGGAACCAGGACAUUCUCUAAGAGAAACAUUAUUGCAAGGAUUUGAAUUAUUUCUGCUUGAAGGUCUCUUAUGGAACCAGAAGUCUAAACCAUCUGUAUCUGAAAGAUUUAAGGUCAGAAUUCCUUCCUCCCUUAGAGAAUUUUGGGGUAUUGAUGGUUUAGGAUCAAUAGGUAAAGUUUGGAAUUGAAAUGGUUGUGAUCUGGCUAUCGAAACUUCUUCUUUUUGUCUAGAAACUGGUUCUGUCUCUUUCUCAGGGAUAUAAAAGCUAGGAGACUUUCCGCUUAAUAAAUCAAUCAAAUUCCAAGCUUCACUAGCAGGUAGGUGAUAGAAGGAUCCUCUAGAGGCUAUAUUCAAGGUUUGCUUAUUUUCCCCACUAAGGCCCUCAAAAAAGUGAAUUAGAAGAACUUCUUCUGGAAUAGAAAGCUUUGGGCCAGUGAGAGUAAGGUUAAUAAAGCGGUCCCAUGAUUUCCUAAGAGAUUCUUCUUCCAGUUGUGUAAAAGAAAUAAUCUCACGCCUAAGUUCCGCCACUUUGGAGAUUGGAAAAUAUUUAGAAAGAAAACUACUAUAUAACUCCUUCCAAUCUCCAUGAACACUCCCUAUUUUGAGUUUGUACCAAUGUCUAGCUUUUCCUGUUAAAGAGAACAGAAAGAGCUUCCAUUUGAGGGUCUCAUCGGACAUUCCUUCUAUGCGAAGGAGGUCGCAGACUCGAUAAAACUCUCUUAGGUGUGUGUAUGGGUUUUCCUCACCUUCUCCUGAGAAAGGUUGUUUUUGAACAAAUUCUAUGUAUUCGGGGUCUAUCUCAAAACUAGAUGCUAUGAUAGGCUUUGAAGAUUUUGGUGGUUCGAGAUGUGUGCCCGUAGGUCUAUGAAAUUCAUAGAUAGACAUGUUUGAAUUCAUGAUAGACCAGAGAUCAAGGAUUAGAUAAGAAGAAAGAAUAGCAGAGAUGAGGCAAAGGAUAAAAGGAAAAAUAUAUAUAUAAUUUUUUUUUAUUUUUUUAGAAAAUGAUUAAGCUAGUUCGUAGUUGUUGACGGUCCUUAAGUACUAAAAUUAAUAAUCAAAUAAACAUGAAAAAGGAUCAAUAUGAAACAAACAUCUAGAAUUAGGGUUUUAUCUGACAGAAUUCCACGAGCUUUGGUGUUUAUCUAUUUCUGCAGGGGUUUAUCAGAAAAUAUGGAGAGAAGGCCCACAUGUCAUGUUUACAAUGAGAUAAUUACGUGCCGCACAAUUUUCCUUGAUCUAGAAGGAUCCAGAAGCCACGGGAACGAACGAGAGGGGAUUCGGGCUCGGGGGCUGGGCGGCCGCCCACCCCCCUUGGGCGCCCGCCCAGGUGAGGAGUCCAAUCAGGACUCUGCUUCGGGACAAUCCUCCACCGACCUAAAGGAUCAAUCUAAACCAUACAAUCUAUGUCGGUUUGAUCCAAUGGCUCACGUUCACUUGAGGGGACUAUAAAACCAGACCCCCUGGCCCCUGGAGGAGAGGAGGAGAAAUCAUUAUUCAGAGGUAGCCAUCAAAGUUAGGGUUUAGAUCUCUCUCCCACAGAGAAUUAGAAUUAGCUACUCCCUAAUCCUUCAAGUUUAGAGGUUGAUUAGAUAGCAAUUAGAGAAGUAGAGCACAACGCUCUGGAUUCGGAUCUUCGGUAAUAAAGAUUGGUAUUAUUCAUAUCUUUCUCUAAUUCUAUUGUACUAAUUGCAUUAUGUCUCUAAUUAUUAUGUUCUUAGUUUGCUCUAGUUCUACAUUUGAUAUAGUUCUAAUUGAUAAUGAGUUUAUGUAUAAGUUUGCAAAGCGCUUAGCUCUUGACGCGAGGGAGUUAGGUGAUAGAUCACAUGUGAGCGUGGUGCUUAGAUGUUAUUUAUCUGCAAAUGUAUCCUAUUGGCCGAGUCGUGUGGUAGUUCGUGAUAGUGACAGCUUUGUUGAUUCUUAUAUAGUCCACCCUCCGUUGAUAGGACAGGCAGAACCGGUAUUGUGGAGUAAGUCAUGCGAUGUUCUGAUUUACUUUAUCAAUGUUCCUUAUACAUGAAUGAAGAGUCUUUUAUGCUAUAUAUGAUCUUGUAGAUAACUAGAGUAGAUUAUGACUUAGUAGUUAGUAGAUAACUUAGAAUCCAUUCUCUAGCUAAUCCGACAUCACCUACAUAUAUGAGGAGUAGUCUAUUUUAUAAUCGCUGUGUUAUUUACCCAUAAACUUAUACUUUAUUAUCAUUAUCUUUAUGGUUUACCCCCUGCUAGAGUAAGUGACUGUGUGACGAGUUUCUCAUUAGUAAUCAUGUUCUUGCAAGUUUAUCUCUAGUCUAUGCCUUGAUAGAUUUUGCCCAUUGAUUUAAUUCCGUUUUCUUGAGAUCCCCUAAGCAAAAUUAUAAAUAACGAUACCUGGAAUACUUAUCCUGGUGAAAUGCUACAAUGAGGUGUUUUAUCUGUGCGCUUGCGGAUAGAAUAGAUUAUUUUCUAGAGAGCCUCUACAUUUAUAAAUACCUUUGUACACUCUGGCGCCAUGCUAGGGAUGACAACCUAGUAUCUAAGUGGUGUUAGCUAGUGUCAACAAGCAUUUCUGGCGCCGUUGCCGGGGACAUGUUAGAACAUUUAUAGGAAUUUUAUGAGUCUCAGGAAUAAGUCAAAAGGGAACAAAAGAGUAAUAUUUAGGAACGGUAAGGGAAGCCAGAAAAUCAAUCAAGGUUAUUCAUAUAAAAUACUAGACUAGACUAUAGAGAAAUAAUUGCAUAAAACAGCUACUAAGUGAGAAAUCAUAACAAGGCACCGCUGCUUUGGCAGGUUCACCCUGUUGUUUUUCUAUGUUUAUAUUUUUAUACAGGGUAUAACAGGAUUGACUUUGGGUACAUUCAACUCUCCAUCAUCAGAACCAAAGCAAUCAAGAGAAGAAGAAGCUAGCUACCAAUUGCUGAAGCUAUGGCACAAAAGACCUUGCAAGAAUUCUCUGCUCCAAGUCUUGACAACAUUCCAACUGGUCCAAGAUUUGCAGUAGAAGAAGGAAUACCCGAGUUUGAGCUCAAGUCAAGCCUCAUCAAUUUGGUACAAGCUACACAAUUCAGUGGAAAGGCACAUGAAGAUGCUAGUGCACACUUGCAGAAUUUCUUAGAGAUUGGAAGCACAAUCCACAUCAACGGAGUUGACAAAGACGUCAUACUGCUUCGCCUUUUUCCAUUCUCAUUAGAAGGAAAAGCGAGGAAGUGGUUCUACACUCAUCAAGAUAACAUCAACAACUGGACGAACUUGUCAGAUGCCUUUCUAUCAAAGUUUUUCCCUAUAGGCAAAACAACUGCCUUAAGAGGAAAUAUUGUCAGUUUCCAACAGCAGAAGACAGAAGCCAUUUCAGAAGCAUGGGAGCGUUUUCAAGGAUACAUAUCAGAUUGUCCUCACCAUGGAAUGGCCACAUGGUUACUUAUGCAGACCUUCUACCAUGGAUUAACCCAGAAGGCUCGUGAGUGUCUAGAUGCAUCUGCUAAAGGAUCAUUCUUGGAGCUUACAACUGGAAAAGCAGAAAUACUUUUGGAUAAGAUAGCAGAAAAUCAAAGCUGGUUCCAAGAUAAAGCUCAACAAUGUCAUCAAACUGAUGAAAUACCAGAAGAAGUAAAUGCAUUAUCAACUAAGAUGGAAAAUUUGCUCCAUUGGAUUGACCAGAGGGCCAAGUUCAAAGAAGAUCAAAGGGCCAUUGAGACAGCAUACAAAUAUCAACCAACUUCGAGUCAACCCAAUAGCAAAGGUAUGAAUUCAGGUAAUACUUUCAAGCAACUUUCAUUAAAAGAGAUAAUUGCUCAACAAACCAAAAUUAAUGAUGAAGUUAAACAAAGGCUAGAUACAAAUGAAUCAUCUCUAAAAGAUAUAUACAAUAAAAUGGAUUUUCUACUAACUGCCUUUGAUGAGCAAAACACUCUUAAUAAAAGGGUAGAGCUUAAAUUAAUAAAGUUAGCUGCUGCACUGCCUGUUGCUACUAACCUUGAGCAGGUAAAGAAUAUAACUACUAGAGGAGGUAAAGCCACCAGAGAUCCACCAUACCCAAAAGAGAAACAAAGAACACCAGCACCAGUGCAACCAGCAGUGAUAGAAGAAGAAAGCCCAGUUGAAGCAGAAAACCUACUCCAACCACCAAGAACUGGAGAAAUGAAGAAAGAUUUUUACGACACCAACUAUUUGCCAUUUCCCAGAAGAAACAGAGGACUGCAGUCGGAUGAGCAGUUUGGUAAGUUUGUAGAGGUUAUUCAGAAAUUAUAUGUCAACAUACCUCUGCUCGAUGCCAUACAGGUACCUACAUAUGCAAAGUACAUCAGAGAUAUUCUUAACAAGAAGAGACCACUGCCCACCACUGAGGUUAUCAAGCUGACAGAAGAAUGUAGUGCGGCCAUCCUCAAACAAACCACCAAAGAAGAAGGAAGAUCCCGGAUGUCCCACUAUUGAUUGCUCGAUCGGGAACCAACAUUUCAACAAUGCACUUUGUGAUCUCGGAGCAAGUGUCAGUGUGAUGCCAGCAUCAGUCUACAAGAAGCUUGAUCAUGCAACCUUAGAACCAACAUCAAUGUGCCUACAACUAGCGGAUCAAUCGGUUCGACACCCGUUGGGCAUCGCCGAGAACAUUCCAGUCAAGAUUAGAGAUUUCCUAGUGCCAGUAGACUUCGUAGUACUGGACAUGAGUCCUGACUCAAAAGUGUCCAUCAUCCUUGGAAGGCCAUUUCUGAGCACUGCCAAUGCCCACAUUGAUGUCGGGAAAGGAGAAAUCAAGUUCCACAUAAACGGUCAAGAAGAACACUUCACAUUCAAACCCAGACCAGAGAGAGACUCUACAGUAAAGGAAGUUCAUGAAGAACCACUGGAGACACCAUCUCCGGAGGAAGGUAACUCAGAAGAUUAAAAGAUUUGGAGGUCCAGCUUGGGGGACCUAAAAUCCCAAACCCUCACCGGGAGGUAAAUCGGUAUUUAUCCGCAUUAUUAAUUUUCUCAUAUUUAAAUUCUUGCAUAAUUAAAUCGUGCAUUAGUCACAUUUAUUCAUAGCAUAAUCAUAAUAAUCAAAAAGCCCCAUAUAAAUAAUAUUCGUGGUGUGUAACAACCUACACUUAUUAAUUAUUAUGGAGGCACAAAAAUAUUUUCCAUUAUCAUUUUCAUUAAGUUUCAAUUCUCAUAGAUUUUCCUGCAUUAUGUUGAUCUUCUAGAAGCAUGACCCACACUCUUUGGGCCCACAUGUCAUACACUUCAUCUCACAUACAUCCCAUCACAUAAUUUCAUCCACCAAUAUGUUUCCACUCACCUGACAUCUUUCCACCGUCCAACCACUACCAACACAAUAUUAUUCUGCGUGAGAUCAAAGCAAGGAAGCAAGUGGAGGAAGCACACCCAGGAUGGACACCAGGGGUGGGCGCCCGCCCACCUACCUUGGGCGCCCGCCCUGUCCCCUGCUCCUCCUAUAAAAGGCCACCUCCAGCUCCCCUUCUCUUCACACAAACACUUCAGAAAACCACACAAAAUUCAGUUUCCCGAGAAGGAGUUCUUGUAGUGAAGAGAAGAGAGUGAAGAGAAGAGAGUAGAGAGAAAGAGAAAGAGUGGAAGGGAAGGUUGGAGUUCUUUUGAGAGAGUGAUUGUCACCUAGCAAGUAGUGAUCCCGUUGUCUAAGCGGAAGUAAAAGUUGUUUAGGGGGAGGCUCUACCAAAAUAGAAACUUAUCUUGAACGAUUAACCCCUGGACUACUGACACUCCGGACAGCUGACCACUAACAUUUUAUCUCACAUUUUCCACUAGUUGUGUUUUUGCCAACUUUUGUUUGCAGGAUGUUUAAGAAGGUGAAGAAUGCAGGGAAGGCUCUCAAGAACAUUGGAACAAGGAGUUCCGCCCGACACUCCUCACAGCCAUCAGAGAUGAGCGUCGACCCGACACCCACACAAGCUCCAUCAUCUUCAUCAGGCCAGCAAGUUAAGGUCCUUCUUAAGAUAGGAGACCUAGGACUGAAGACCCGAAGAGAGAAGGAAGUAUAUCAACAAUUGAAGAACAAGGAUUUCAUUCACACCCCUACUCUCGAUCCAAUCCUACUAAGAGAAACAGGUAUGGACACUGAAUUUGACUUAAUUUUUCAGAUGAUGGGUUGGACAAAUUUUUGGAAUAUAACUGAGCUGGGUUCUCGUCUUCUCACCCUCGAAUUUCUUUGCACCAUACAAUACUACGAGGGGGGAAUUGUUUUUCGGAUGUUCAAACAAGAAAUUAUGUUAUCUUGGAGGGAGCUGAGUGACCAUCUUGGUUUCUCUUCAAGAUGCAUCCUAAACAUUGACUCCGAUUUACCCAAUUUUGAGAGACACCAGUUUUGGAGAGAAAUAUCUAGAGAUAAUUUUUACAGUCAAGCCCGAACCAGUGACAUGGAACACCCCACUCUUAGGAUGUUUCACAAAUGGCUUGGGUACAAUCUUUUCUAUCGUGAUGAUAUUAGGAAAGUAAGAGUAGGAGAUUUACAACUUUUAUAUGCUGCUAUUAGUAAAGUACCUACUUCACCUGUUACAUUAUUAGUUUCACAUUGGCUUAGUAUACCUAAUCUUCAGGGACCAGUAGGAUGUACUUCACUUAUCACUCGUCUAGCCACUAAUCUUCACUUACUAGAAAAUUCAUCGUUGGACUUCAUAGAAGAAUUAAGAAUUUAUCAUGGCUAUGACACAUUUAGACAAGCUCGGAUGUUAAAGAAAGAGGGGAAUAUAAUGUAUAUGCUGUAUGAUGAUAAAGGCAAGAUUCGGUUACCUAACCCGAACCUUGGCCUCUACUCUGUGCAAAACUUUUUGAUUGAGAUUGCAGCAACACCAGUGAACCAGAGAACUCCACAGCGAGUGGCAUCUGAAAGGAUAACCACCCACCGAGAACGCACUUGGUAUGGAGCUGACCCUGGACCAGAAGAAGCAGCGCACCUGCAUUAUUGCGAUUACAAUCCACGAGUCCUUCGAGACCCAUGGGCUCGUCAUGCGCAACCACAAGAGCCAACAGAGGAGACAUGGCCGGAAAGCCAAGAUCACCAGUGGACAAACCCGCCUUUUCAUACGGGCAGGUACUCCACUGAUCCAUAUGGAGCUUCAGGAUCCAGACCUCCACCCCAAUUUGAUGCAGGACGAUACUCCGACGCCUCCUACGCUUUCACGAAUGACUACUAUCAAGAGGCCGGUGCUUUCUUCACUCGUACCGACAACACCCUCCUCAACAUUCAGAACACGCAAGCAGAACAUGGAAGACUCCUGGAAGAACAACAAAAAUGGAACCAGGACCAUGCCGCUGCAGUAGAAGAGCUGAGACAAGAUACAACAACAAUGAACGACAACAUCACAACCAUGAUGCGGUUCUGGAACAUCGGGUAAGACCGACGUCAACAUCCAGCUUGGGGGAGUUCUUCCCAAAUUUAUCAAGUAAGUUUUUUAUUUGCUCUUCUUAGUUAUUCUAUUCUGUUUUAGUAUUUAAUUUAUCUUACAAGGAAAAAAAACUUAGAAAACCAAAUAAAUAUUUUCUUGCUUUAAUUUACUGCACUUUAUAAACAUGAAAACAAAAUAAAAAGAGUGUGUAGAUAAGUGUGCUUUAUUUUCCUGCUAAGUUUAAUCUCUAGAAAAAAAAAUAAAAAUACCAAAAAGAUGCAUGAGGGAAAUGAUGAACAGUUGCUCUGUUUGCUUACUUACAAGUACCUAGCUUUUAUAUUAGAAUUCUUCCAGGAAUUACUAAAACUAAAAUUACUAUCUAUGGGAAGAAUAAAACUAAAGUCUAGGUAAGAGAAAGGCAUAAUAUAAAGUUGAGCUACUGUUUAUCUUGUUCCUACUACACUAAGUUCUAGAGAUUUGUUUUGAAAACCUACAAAUCACAUGAUGAGUUCCUAGCAUUACAAACUACCUACCACAGCCAUACUUGCUAUAACAUCUUUUACUAUAUUUACAUUGAGUUUGAUCGAGCUGUGUUGACCUUUAGGAGCUUUUCAUGUGGUUAAAUUAAGAUAUUCACUUGCACGCAUCUACCACAGCAUUCAUCAUUAAUCAUUAAAAUUGCUAAAAAUAUUAUCACUCACUGUCCUGAAUAUUGUUAUACUCUCUCUCUAAAAGAUUCAAUGCAGAAGAGGCAUGGGUUAUGCAAAAAUAUACGAGGAAAUAAAAAGGGGCAAGUGCCCGGAACCUCGAAAAAGAAAAAAAAAGAGUGAGACGAGAGGUAAAAAUGGACAAGUGUCCGAAGUAGAAUUAGGGGUAUCUACUACCCACCUGAAAAAAAAAGAAAAAAGAAAAAGAUAGCCCAUGUUCUCCCAAAGCAAAGAUCAAAGAGGAGGAGAGAUAGCAAUAUAAGGAGCAAUGAGAACUAAGUUUUAUUAUCACUUAUGCAUUUUCACCAUCACUAUCAUUUACUCCACCACACAUGCACAUCUUGAUUUAAUUAUAUGCUGAGUUCCUUUGGAUCCAUGGCUCGAUUAGACAACAUAUGUAUGAGCUGUUUUUCACUCCUAUGAGCUCCACUUAAAUAUUCCAUUAGCUAUAGGUAAGUGAUAUCAUGGUAAGGAUCCACAAAUACCACAUAUAGAGAGACUUGAGAGAAUCAUUGCUGGGAACUCUAAGUUUUAUUUUGAAAAUUUAUAAAAAACUCUAGAAUAAAGGUGAAGUAUAAACAGGAGGGAUAGUACUUGACUUAACUAUUUUGUCUUUCGAUUACUUAAGAUUUAAGUGCAGGUACUAAACUUCAUAACACUUCACUUUAAUCUGGAAGAAUUCAUAUGUAAAAGCAUGUGUGCCUGUCAGGAAAGAAAAUAUCGAAGCAACUCCUGAUCCGUCUGAGUUUAGCUGUUUGCUCAGGGACGAGCAAAGGGUAAGCUUGGGGGAGUUUGUUGACGGUCCUUAAGUACUAAAAUUAAUAAUCAAAUAAACAUGAAAAAGGAUCAAUAUGAAACAAACAUCUAGAAUUAGGGUUUUAUCUGACAGAAUUCCACGAGCUUUGGUGUUUAUCUAUUUCUGCAGGGGUUUAUCAGAAAAUAUGGAGAGAAGGCCCACAUGUCAUGUUUACAACGAGAUAAUUACGUGCCGCGCAAUUUUCCUUGAUCUAGAAGGAUCCAGAAGCCACGGGAACGAACGAGAGGGGAUUCGGGCUCGGGGGCUGGGCGGCCGCCCACCCCCCUUGGGCGCCCGCCCAGGUGAGGAGUCCAAUCAGGACUCUGCUUCGGGACAAUCCUCCACCGACCUAAAGGAUCAAUCUAAACCAUACAAUCUAUGUCGGUUUGAUCCAAUGGCUCACGUUCACUUGAGGGGACUAUAAAACCAGACCCCCUGGCCCCUGGAGGAGAGGAGGAGAAAUCAUUAUUCAGAGGUAGCCAUCAAAGUUAGGGUUUAGAUCUCUCUCCCACAGAGAAUUAGAAUUAGCUACUCCCUAAUCCUUCAAGUUUAGAGGUUGAUUAGAUAGCAAUUAGAGAAGUAGAGCACAACGCUCUGGAUUCGGAUCUUCGGUAAUAAAGAUUGGUAUUAUUCAUAUCUUUCUCUAAUUCUAUUGUUCUAAUUGCAUUAUGUCUCUAAUUAUUAUGUUCUUAGUUUGCUCUAGUUCUAUAUUUGAUAUAGUUCUAAUUGAUAAUGAGUUUAUGUAUAAGUUUGCAAAGCGCUUAGCUCUUGACGCGAGGGAGUUAGGUGAUAGAUCACAUGUGAGCGUGGUGCUUAGAUGUUAUUUAUCUGCAAAUGUAUCCUAUUGGCCGAGUCGUGUGGUAGUUCGCGAUAGUGACAGCUUCGUUGAUUCUUAUAUAGUCCACCCUCCGUUGAUAGGACAGGCAGAACCGGUAUUGUGGAGUAAGUCAUGCGAUGUUCUGAUUUACUUUAUCAAUGUUCCUUAUACAUGAAUGAAGAGUCUUUUAUGCUAUAUAUGAUCUUGUAGAUAACUAGAGUAGAUUAUGACUUAGUAGUUAGUAGAUAACUUAGAAUCCAUUCUCUAGCUAAUCCGACAUCACCUACAUAUAUGAGGAGUAGUCUAUUUUCUAAUCGCUGUGUUAUUUACCCAUAAACUUAUACUUUAUUAUCAUUAUCUUUAUGGUUUACCCCCUGCUAGAGUAAGUGACUGUGUGACGAGUUUCUCAUUAGUAAUCAUGUUCUUGCAAGUUUAUCUCUAAUCUAUGCCUUGAUAGAUUUUGCCCAUUGAUUUAAUUCCGUUUUCUUGAGAUCCCCUAAGCAAAAUUAUAAAUAACGAUACCUGGAAUACUUAUCCUGGUGAAAUGCUACAAUGAGGUGUUUUAUCUGUGCGCUUGCGGAUAGAAUAGAUUAUUUUCUAGAGAGCCUUUACAUUUAUAAAUAGCUUUGUACACUCUGGCGCCAUGCUAGGGAUGACAACCUAGUAUCUAAGUGGUGUUAGCUAGUGUCAACAGUAGUCAACUCAGCAACCGUUUCCCCGGCAACGGCGCCAAAAAUGCUUGUUGACACUUGCUAACACCACUUGAAUACUAGGUUGUCAUCCCCAGCAUGGCACUAGAGUGUACUAUGGUAUUUAUACGCACACAGAUAAUCCGCAAGCGCACGGAUACCGUUGAAGCUUUUACCCGGUUAAAGGUUUUAUCGUAUCCACAGGGAAACGGGAGAACCAACUACGCUCUAACUUAACCAAGAUAGAUUAGAUAGGUGUAAAUAGGAAAGAUGGUAGAAUUGAACAAGAACAAUAUUAAAGGUAAGAUAACAAUAGGUGAUAAUAUGGGAAUAGAGAGUAGAGCAAUUCUAGUAUAUGGGCGAUGGUAGCAGAAUAGAGAGGAUAACUAUGGUUUCUCUACUUCAAAGGGGUAUGUCUAUGUCUGGGACGAACCACGUGAUAAGAUUACACCACAAAGGAUGCUUAUCCAUAGGCCGAUAAACCCUACCCGUCCUGCUAACGAGAGGUGGACUACAGAGGACCAACGUAACUGUCACCUACGCGGCCUACCACACGAUCCAGCUAGACAGGGGAUAUCCACAAGUAAUCUAGAUCUAAGCACCUCGCUUACACCUAUACUACAACUCUAACCUAUAGCGUCCUAUAGAUUAGAAGUACUCAAAAGAGUUGUGAACCAGAACGUACAUAAUUAGUAAUUGCAUAAUGAAUUAGAAGUAGAUUACCAGAGUCAUCCCAUGAGCAAGCUUGAUUAGAGCUUGAUCAUGACGAAGUACAACCGGAGGAAGAACCGAUGAGCCGGCCUCUCCUCUAAUCCUCCUUCGCUCUCCAUCUUGCUACUAUCUAGAUCUACUCUAGUUUAGAGAAGAGAGGAGAGCUCUCUUCUCUAAACCCUAGCUUUUGCUCUGUCUAUGAAUAAUGAAUAAUGAUCAAGGGGUGCCUCCUCCAGGGGCCAGGGGGUCUGGUUAUAUAGUCUUUUCAGAUGAAUCUGGGCCGUCGGAUCAAACCGACAUUGAUCGUGUGGGUUUCCUUGAAGUAUUAGGUCGGUGGAGCAUGAUCCGCGAAGUUGAAGCUGAUUGGUUACUGUAGCUGGGCGGGCACCCAAGGGACUUGGGCGGGCGCCCUGCCCCCGGGCCCAAUCGGCCUCCCGUUCGUUCCCGUGGCUUCUAGAAUCUUCUAGAUGGUAGAAAAUUGCGCGGCACGUUAAUAUCUCUAUGUAAACCCGACAUGUGGGCCUUUCCUUCAUAUUUCCUGAUAACCCCCCUGCAGAAAUAGACAAACACCAAAACUCAUGGAAUUCUGUCAGAUAAAACCCUAAGUCUGGGUGUUGGUUGCAUUUGGAUCCUUUUCUUUGUUUAUUUGAUAGUGAAAUUUGAUACUUAAGGACCGUCAACACUUGAUCUAAAGUCUAAGUCGUUAACGGAUAUGAUAUGGGAAGGUUGAGCUGCUAUUUAUCUGUUCCUAGAGAUGCUAGAAUUCUGGAGAAUUUUAUCUUUGAAAAUCUUUAAAAUAACACAUGAUGAGUUCCUGUAUGAUGAGAGUUUAAAAUCCUACCACAGCCAUAUAUACAUGCUUAUUAGACUUUGAGCCACACAUUUACUUUUUACUGCUUAUGAGCAUUGAGUGUGGUCAAGCUGUGUAGACCCUUAGGAGCUUGUCAUGCGGUUAAAAUCAAGAUUCACUUGCACGUUCACUCACACAUGCUGCUUCUACUCCAGAAGUACGCAUCCACAUACAUCCACUCAUUCUCAUCUCCAGAGCCACCCAAAAGUAUUCUACUCCUAAUUCGAGAGAGAAUAGCUAAAAACAUUCCUAUCCCUGUUUUUUCCUAUGAAAUAAAUGCUCGAGUUAUCUUGGUUACUACCACUUGCUAUAUUAUUCAGGAGAUGAGUGCUCUAAAAAAAGAGAAGAAAAAAAAAGAAAAAAAAUAAAAUACGAGGAAAUAAAAAGGGGCAAGUGCCUGGAACCUCGAAGAAAAGAAAGAGUGAGACGAGAGGUAAAAAUGGACAAGUGUCCGACAGUAGAAUUAGGGGUACAAGAUACUCACCUGAGAGGAAAGAAAAAGAAAAUAUAGAGCAUCUCAUUCUCCUCAAAAAGCUUCAAAAUGCAAGAAAGGUAUGUAUCCCCUUAAAAGAGCAAAAGUAGAAUUCGAUUUUCACCAUUGUUAUCACCAUCAUCACCAUACACCAUUCACUCGCCACACAUGCACAUCUUGAUUUGACUUAUUGACUUGUUCUUCUGGAUCCAUGAUUUGACUAUGCAAUAAAUGUCUUGUAAGUAUGUAUUAGCUGUCUCCCACCUAUGAGCUCCAGAUAUCAAAACCUUAUUAGAGUAGGGUGAGAGAGAAGGCAAUAUCACUAUGCCUCAUACCACAAAUACUACAUACUUUGAGAGAAGGCAUAUAUCAUCACUGCCUUAGUGAGGAUUCAGAAAUACCACAAAAGAGAGAUCUAAGAGAGUCAUACAAGGAAUCUCUGAGUUUUAUUUGAAAAUCUGCAAAAACUCCAGAGCUAUAGCUGAUCAAGAAUAAGAGACAUGGCGCUUGACUUGACCGUUCUAUCUUUUAACUGCUCAAGACACAGGUAACGGUUACAAAUCCCAUGGUAAAAGGUAAAAUGAGUAAGUUUUAAGUCUUAACAGUUUGUUCUAACUCAGAGAUGAGACCUUGCUUGAAUGCGUGUGUACUUUUAAAGCACGAAACCACUCCAGAAACUCUUGAGUUCAUCCUUGCUCAGGGACGAGCAAGAGGUAAGCUUGGGGAAGUUGUUGACGGUCCUUAAGUACCAAAUAUAAUCAUCAAAUAAAUAAAGAAAAGGAUCCAAAUGCAACCAACACCCAGACUUAGGGUUUUAUCUGACAGAAUUCCACGAGUUUGGUGUUUGUCUAUUUCUGUAGGGGGUUAUUAGGAAAUAUGGAAGAAAGGCCCACACGUCGAGAUUACAUAGAGAUAUUAACGUGCCGCGCAAUUUUCUAUCAUUUAGAAGACUCCAAAAGCCACGGGAACGAACGAGAAGGCGAACGGGCCCGGGGGCAGGGCGCCCGCCCAGGAGUUGUAGUCAAACACGUCCAACUUUGCGGACCAAGCUCCACCGACCUAAAGGAACAAGGAUAACCGUCCAAUCAAUGUCGGUUUGAUCCAAUGGCUCAUGUUCACUUGAUGUAACAUCCCUGAUGUUACGAACACUAAAAACGGAUCAUGUCAUCAUAAGCAUUGCAAAGCAUAAUUGUUGAGCACAUUUUGAUGCAUCAACUUAAAAUGAGUUUAAUUUUGUUGAAUGUGCUUAGGGAAUUAAAGUGUGUUUAUCUUGUAUCAUAAUGCUUGAGUUGGUUGUUAAAAACCCUAGGGUGAAAAAUUUCCGAAGGCUUAGGGGGGGAAAACCCUGAUUUCUGGACCCUAGAAUUGCCCCUUUUUGUGCAAUUCAAAAACUAAGCAAAAUUUGGAGAUGAGUUCAAAAGCAAAGUUGUAGAUCUUGUCAAGAUGUACAACUUUGGUGUUUUGAGUUUUUGAAGUUUCAAUACAAAAUUCAAAGUAAUUUUGAAAAUACAGAUUUCCAGAAAGUGUCCCCUUUUCCAAAUUAAACCUCCAAUUCAAAAUCCAUUUGGAAUUUUGAAAAGUGGUCAACAUGAAAGUUGUAGUGCACAAAAAGUUGAGCAACUUUCAUGUUGGGAAUUUUUCAAGUUGUUUGGAAAAAUCAAAAGUAAUUUUAGAAUUUCUAUUCUGUCCCAAUUCAAACCAGAUUUGCCCCCAAAUUGAAUUUUUGAAUUUCAAAGUGUUUCCCCUAAAUUCAUGCCCUUACACUCAAAAUCAGUUCUGGACUUUUAAAUAUGUUUUGUAGCUUAUAAAAUUUGGAACAACUUUUGUUUUGACACAAAUUUGACUCCAGUUCAAAUUUUGGCUGAAUUUCACAAAGUUCAGAAAAGAGGGGAUAAGGGUCUGCUACAGUGACCCGAUAGGGAUCACCGGCUCCCUGUCCAGCACGGCCGCCGCGCGCGCAGCGCCGCGUGCGCGCGUGUAGGCACGCAGCCUGCCUGCCUGCUAGCGUUGCCAGGCAACGUGGACGCCCUAGGCUCGUUCCCUUCUCCCCUUUGGGCACCAGCGUGGGCGCCGCCGCGCGUUUCCUUCGUCCUGAGCUAGAGAACCCCGACGAGCUUCCCUCCUCAAUUCGCCAUAACCACUCCUUCCUGAGCCAAAUUGAGCAACCCAGAGUCUCCGUCACCUUCGUGCGAACCCAGUGCACCCCCAAGCUCCCUCUCUAACCCCCUCAAACGCCAGAGCUCCUCCCUCUUCUCCAACUCCGGCCAAGACCGCCGCCGCGGAGCUCUUCCUGUGGCCACGGGGUUCCAGUGAGUAUCACACCCCGCUGGCGACUGUUUCACGUUCCUUCCGUGCCCCGGUUGCUCAUGCUCUCGCUCCCUCUCCUUGAAUGUGAGCAGGAUCGCCGGAACGAGCUUGCUGGAGCCAGAGCUCCCGCCCGACGACACUGCUUCUGUCGCCAGCGGCUUCAGCUGCUUCCCCGAGCCUUGCAGCGUGAGCACCACCCUCCCCAACCCCUGUGGAAGCUCGCUAGGCCGUCGGCUUGCACUCUACCGGGCCCUAGCGGCCAGCCGAGGGUCGGCCAUGGCGGCCGCCCGCCCUUCUCGUGACCGAGGUGGGGGAGGUAGGGUAGAGCGUGGGUAGGAGGUGUCUACAGGGUCGCGGAGUUGAGGUGAAGCCGAUGCGCACGCGCACUCUGGCUGAGACCCUCGCCAACGGCGGCCGGAGCCGUGGCCAAACCGCCGUGCGCGGUGAGGACGCAGCUGACGGGUGGGGUCGCCCCGUCAGCGUCCCGCUGAGAGAGGGCCUGACGAGCGGGACCCGCUCGUCAGUGACCGCUCAGAGAGGGGGGGGCAGCGCGCGCAGUCCGCGUGGGCCGAGAGCGCUCGGGCCAGAGUGGGCCGUGCCCAAGCGGGCCGCUGCGCAGGAGUGUUGUUUUUCUUUUUCCUUUUUGAUUAAAAAUACUUGAUGUUUGAAUUUAUGUUAUAAAGUGUGUAGUGCUCCAAAAAUGAUGAAAAUUUUUGUAUAGAUCCUGUGAAAUAGUUAGAACCUAGGAAAAAUAUUAAGCCCUAUUUUCUGAUAGUUUGUAAGGUUAUAAAAAUUGGCUCUUUUAAUUAGCAAAUAAAACUUUGAUGAAUUUUAAUAAUUUAUUAGUAUGUCCAAAAAUCAUCAAAAAUUGUGGGAUGCCUCUGAAUAUUAUUUCCAGGCUUCACGCAAAUUUUGGUGACAUUUGGAUAAUGUUUGGAUAGAAUAUUAAUAAACUCUUAUUUAGUAAUUAAAUAAUAAUUCCAAGAUAAUUAGAUAGUGAUUAGUGGAAUCCUCACAAUUAGGGUUGAGUGAUUUUGGGAUUAUGUGAUGACCUGAGGUCAUUAACCCUAAUGACCUUUGGCAUUUAAUUAUUGUUUGGCCUUAAUUACUGUCAUUAGUGAUUAAUUAAGAGUUAAUUAAGGUAAAUAGGAUUAAUGAUUAGUUAAUUUAAGAUAAUUAUGAAUUAAGAAAAGUCUUAAUUUACAGAUGCAACCUCUUGGGUAAAAACAUUAAGGUGUUAAACAACUUUAUUUAUUGGUUAUUCUGUAUUGCACCGAGAAAGCAAGUUGUACUCGACUUGAUCCUUCUUGCAUAAUUGUCAUACGCAUAUCAUGAGCAUUCAUCAUUUUGCGUAUAGCGUCCGUGACCGAAGGAGCGCCCGUUGAACCGAACCCCGAGGUCGGUGCUCCGUUCGAAGAAGUCGGAUCCGAGACUUGGGAAGUCUCCGAGAGUCCCUCUCUGCCCUGCAACCAAGGCAAGCCCCGGAUGCAUUAACCCCCCUUGAAUGUUUUAAAUCUUUUAUCACUUAUGAAUUGAAAAUGCUGCAUUAGGUAGUUGAGAAUUGGGUUAACCUACUUGCUGCAUUUACUACCUUGAUAUCUGUUAUCCUGUCCUUGACACCUGUUUAUUUUAAAACUGCGUAGUAAUGCUUAGCCCUGCUACUAGAUAGGUUUUCAAAUAAGAAAGUUUGAAGGGUUGUUGUGGAAUACAUUUAUGAUCAAUGAUGUUUUAAUCUGAGACCGGUCGGUGGACUUGCUUUAAGAAUGGAGUCUUAAAGUAGUGUCUCCAACUAUGUCGAUUAAGGACCGGUCCGUUGAUGGCCCGCUGGGUUGAGAAUUUAUAGUACUAGCCACUUGCCCUCGGCAAGCCCGGUCUUGUGAUCCCUCGACGUGAACAGCUACUCGCGCACUGGGAGUGGAAAGAUGGCGAGAGUAGUGUGUACCCACCUUACGGAUCUGAGAUGACCGGAAAACAUCUAGAUCGGCUGUAGGAUGGUGGAGUACUGUGCUCUCGGGUGCCGCGAACCUGGUCAAAUUUAGGGAGAGCUUGAUUUGGGUUGACAUAUGCAAGUUUUGGUUCUACAUAUGUCGGGUGGUUAGGAACUCCAGCUGGAUUGCUAAGUGGUUCGAAUCGUCGUUGCACCCCGAUUGGGAGACUCAAUCCACUGCCCCUCAUCAUAGUUAAUUAUGCAACUAAUUGGUAAAAUGAGAAAGGGGGAAAUGUCUCAUGAGGUUCGGAUCCCAAUUCCCGGACUCAUAGCGACAUGAAGCUAUGGCCAUCAAAUAAAUGAUACUUUAAUUUAGGACUAGAAACUCACAGACUUGUCUGUGGGGAAGCAACUAGGUAGACUGUCCUCGAACUCCUCGGCCUCGACGGGAGAGGAAUUCGCAGGUAAAACUUGAAAGUAAGGAUGCACUAUUAGUAAGCUUUAUAGCAAAACACUUUGGCUCCUUGCUCAGCCACUCCUUGUCUACCCUAAGCCUGCAUUCCUAAGUUCUCCUCUUUUUCCACCGGGUAAGUCUUGUUGAGUACUCCCGUACUCAGGGUUCCAAUACCCCUGUUGCAGGUGAAGCUCAGGAACCGACUUGUUUCGGACCCUGUUGUGUGACCGUCGUCGAGGUUGACGAUGAAGAAGAGUGAGCGUGACCCAUGGGCAGGGUCUGUAAAUUUGUGAUCUCUGUACUAAAGUUUAAGUUGCUCCGCUGGACCAGGCAUGUAAUAACACUCUGCUAUUUGGAAGAACUCCUUCUGUAAAAUAAGAUAUGUAAUACUUCCGCUGUUUUACUCUGAAAUAUUAUUUUGGCCGUAUGUCGUUUGUGGUACUGCAUUGUCUUCGCAACGAAUGAUCCUGGUGUUAAGGUGGCCACUUGCUAUCCUAUAAGGGCGAGAAGAAGAAGUUCUCGUUAAUUGACCAUCACCAGUGGUCAGGACGAGCCGGCUUGGCACGCCACAGGUAGCAGUGGAAUGAGCGUCCAGCGAUGCUCAUCGGACUUCUAAAGUGGGAGGAUCCCCGGCACCACCGUCAGAGGUCCUUAGGACAAUGACAGGUGUCGGUGGGCCCAAACACUUAGGGGGUUCUGCCACAGCUGGUAUCAGAGCAUUCGUUGCUAAGAUAACUGCUGAACCUCUUGAAAAACUUCAAAAUUCCUUUGGAUCCAAUACUAUAAACCUACCUAUUUUGAGUCCAAGUGCUUAGUCCUAACUUACCCCUGUCUAUAGGCUUCCUUAGAAUUUUUGAAGUGGUAUGGAGGAGCAACAUAGAGUAUUGCCCUAUGUUGUAAAAAUUUAAAGUAAUAAUGUUACGAAUUGUUAGUAGGAAUCGUAAGUUCGUGCAUGCAUCAUGAUGUAUUAACUGGUUAAGUUCCUUCCUCCUUGUUUGGGUUGGGUGAAUAGAAUCAAUCCUAUUCUUGCUAACCUUUAAGGUCUCUCUUACUAAUCCAAACUUACCCUCUACAGGAUGGCUCGUCAGAAGCAGACCCCGCGUAAGAGGACAGGUCCAAAAGGAGUUCCCCGACAUCAGCUGGCUCCACGCAGCGAUCAAGCCAGCAGUAGCCGUUCACCGCCUCAGCAGGAGGUGGACAGGUUGUCCGCCGAGUUGACUGAGGUGAUGAGAGAAAGAAUGUACAAUGUUAUGGAGAUCGGCAAACUUAAAGCUCAACUAGCCAAAGAAAAACAAGCUACAGAGAACUGUGAGGCUAUGUUGUCCCGGAUGGUGGAGGAGAGGAAUGCCUCCAUUGCCCGAGAGGAAGAAGCUAGGAGCACACACAGGCAUGAGCUGAGUAGGAUGAAUGCAAAGCUGGGCAAGGCCAGGUAUCUUAAGGAUUUGUACGUGAAGAUGGCGGCCACGGUCACCGCACAGCGGGAUGUCGCGUGGCAGCGAGAGGACCAGCUCCAAUUGGAGAAGCUGGAGCUGGCACAUCACUUAGAUACCGUUAAUGACUUGGCAAUGCAAUAUCGUGAUAUUGCAUUUGAUCUGUAUCAUCAGCUCCACCCACCUCCAGGCGAAGGAGAAAUGGAUACGGAUGGCGAGUUGGCAGACGAUGGGGAAUCCGAUCCAGGCCUCAGUGAUGAAGAGGAGUCCGACCCCGAUGACAACAACCCAGGGGGUAAUCAGGAUGAUGGCAAUGACGACCUGGGCUACAGCUCUGGCCACACCGAUUAGUUCGGUGGAACCGCGGACAACGUCAUUGUCGGAGUCCUAGCUUGCCGUAGUGGGGUUCGGGUUUGUAAUAUAAGUUUUCUUUUGGUUUGAGAAGUUGUAUUUGUUUGUUCCUGGUAUGUCGAACUAAUGUUUAAUAAAGGGAAGAAUGUAAGAUAUGUUCUGUGUUAUGAAUUUCACGUGGUAACAGGUAUCUACGAUUCUUGUAACAGAUGCCGAUGCGUACACGCGGAUCUGAUGGAGCUGGGACAUCUCAGGGAGGGGAUGAUAUCCCCAACCCUCCACCUGCUCCACCUUCUUUGGCUGACGCCAUUGCUGUUUUGUUAAGUGCCACUACUGACAACGCUCGCUUGCUGCGCGAGCUAGCACAGCGUCAACCACACCCCGCCCCAAACUUCAGGGCACCGCGCAACGGGGACGGAGAGACUCGGUAUGUGGACUUUACCGAGACCAGGCCCCCGGUGUUCACUAAGGUCGAUGAGCCUUUAGAAGCGGAUGACUGGCUCCGAACCAUGGAGCAUAAGUUCAGUUUGAUUCAGUGUUCAGAAACUCAGAAGCCCCUGUUCGCAGCUCAGCAGCUUCGGGGAGCUGCAGGUGCCUGGUGGGAGAACUUCUUAGCUAUCCAAGCUCCCGGACACCAGGUCACCUGGACCGAGUUUAAGGACGCAUUCUGCGCCCAUUACAUUCCGGAAGGGCUCAUGGCCAUGAAGGCCGAAGAGUUUCUCGCCUUGCAGCAAGGCGAUAAAAGUGUUAUGGAGUACGUGGCAAGGUUUAAUCAUCUCUCUCAAUAUGCCACGGACCAUGUGAACACAGAUAGAAAGAAGAAAGCCUGCUUCAUGCGUGGUCUAAAUACUAAACUUCAGACCAUGAUGACCACCUGCCAAAAUGCUACCUUCUAUGAGGCGGUAAAUAUUGCCAUCGCCUCAGAGGAAAAGAAUAGAAAGCAUAAAGAAGCCAAGAAGAAGGCUGCUUCUUCCUCUUUCUCUGGUCGCGGUCAAAAGCGUCAGAGAAUCAUUUACCAUCCGCAGGGCCACGGACGCUUCCAAGCGCCGUCACCUUAUCGUGGUCCUUUCUCCCCCCACAGUAUAAACCAGGGCAGCAGGUAUACUCUCGACCUACUGCCAUCGCUUUCGCACCACGCCAGCCGAACGCCCCAGGUGUUCGCCCCACUGCUCUGCCCAGCCACAAUUACCCUUGCUUCAAUUGUGGUAAACCUGGGCAUUUCUCUAAAGAGUGCCCUUUUCCCCGCCAAACCAACCCUACCUUCCAAAGGCCGCCUAUGGGCCAACCCCAGCCGAAUCAAUUCAGGGCUGGGGCUCUAAAGGGACAAAAUGUGCAAAAGGGGAAACCAGCGAAGAAAGUGGGACAAGUCUUCCAUAUGGAAGUGGAGACGAUUCCAGAGGGUGAACCAGUAAUGAUGGGUACGUUCCCUGUCGCGAAACAUCCUGCUUUAAUGCUCUUUGAUUCUGGUGCAUCUCAUACAUUCAUCAAUCGCACCUUUGUGUUAAAGCAUGGCAUACCCAUUGGGGAAACACAAGAUCAUUUUUAUAUACAGUCGCCAGGAGGACGGCUGAUGUCCAAAGAAAUGGUUCACCAAGUACCCAUCGAAUUUGGUGGGCAUAAUUUUCCCACUAGCAUGAUUGUUCUUAAGGACCAAGAGAUUGAUGUCAUCUUAGGCAUGAACUGGAUGGCACAACGAGGGGUUGUGCUAGACACUUUGCAUCGAACCAUUAAAAUCUCAUUGCCCAAUGAGAAUUCUUAUUUGCUAAUUCAAUUAGUUACUCCCAAGCGGACAAUUGGGCAAGUUCAUGCCGCUAAUGUGUCUGAAGUCAAAGAUAUCCCGGUAGUUCGGGAUUUUCCGGAUGUAUUUCCUGAAGACCUACCAGGUCUGCCUCCGGACCGGGAUGUACAAUUCAGUAUAGAAUUGAAACCAGGGACGGCCCCAAUAUCUCGAAGGGCCUACAGAAUGGCACCGAAAGAGCUGGCCGAAUUAAAAACCCAAUUACAAGAGCUGUUGCAAAAAGGUUUUAUUCAGCCCAGUUCUUCUCCAUGGGGUUGCCCAGCCUUGUUUGUGAAAAAGAAAGAUCAAACAUUAAGGCUGUGUGUCGACUAUCGUCCCCUAAAUGAGGUGACGAUUAAGAACAAGUACCCAUUGCCCCGCAUUGACUUAUUGUUUGACCAGCUAGCUGGGGCCAAAGUAUUCUCGAAAAUUGAUUUGAGAUCAGGGUACCACCAAAUUAAAAUUAGGCCGGAAGAUGUGCCCAAGACAGCUUUUACAACCCGUUACGGGCUGUAUGAACACUUGGUGAUGUCCUUUGGGUUGACCAAUGCACCGACCCAUUUCAUGUACCUGAUGAACUCUGUCUUCAUGCCAGAACUAGACAAAUUUGUUGUAGUCUUUAUUGAUGACAUUUUGAUUUACUCCAAGACUAAGAAAGAACAUGCUGAACAUUUGAGGGUCGUGCUGACUCGUCUCAGGGAGCAUCAGCUAUACGCCAAGUUCAGCAAAUGUGAGUUCUGGCUGGACAAAGUCCAUUUCCUGGGUCAUGUAUUAUCAGCGGAAGGAGUCGCUGUAGACCCAGGCAAGGUAGAAGACGUGUUGAAUUGGAAACCCCCGACUACGGUACAUGAGGUCCGUAGUUUUCUCGGUAUGGCGGGAUAUUACCGUCGUUUUAUCCCGGACUUUUCCAGAGUCGCCAAACCAAUCACAACCUUGCUCAAAAAUCAAACAAAAUUUGUUUGGUCACCCCAAUGUGAGCAAGCCUUUCAGACUCUGAAAAGGUUGUUGACAACUGCACGUGUCUUAGCCCAGCCAGAUAUUGAAAAACCCUUUGAUGUGUAUUGUGACGCAUCAGGGAUCGGGAUAGGCUGUGUGCUAAAGCAGGAGGGUCGCUGUUGGGUAUUCUUAACAUCAUUACCAAAAGUAGACUAAGUUCUCUAAAUCUAGCAACGGUGCCAAAAAUGCCAAACCUAUCCCUUACACCACUUAAGCCAAGUUGUCAUCCCCAGCAUGAUAUAAGAGACGCGGUAUUGAAAUAUGCAAUUGCUCUUCUAAAUAACUAAUGAAUGGGAUCUGCAAGCGCACAGAUUAAUACCGAUGUAGCAUUUUAACCGGGAAGUAUUCCAGGUAUCGUUAUUUAUAUUUUUACCACUGGGAAGGGAUUAGCGAUCAUCAAUAUUGAUUACAGAAUAGCAUAUGAGAUUGAGCAUCUAUCAUUGCAUGUAUAAUUGAGAACAUUAUAUCUAACUCUUCAUACAAGGAUAAGUGUCACAUAAAAGAUAUAUAAAAUAAUAAUAGUGACAAGGAUAACUAAUCUGAUCUAGCCACAUAAUAAAUAUGAUAAGCACCUCAAUUAGAUACUCUAGAAAGUCAUUAGCAUGGUAUUAGAACGAACUACAAGAAUAUUCCCUAAGUUAUUCUUAACUAUAUAGUCUAGCAUAUAAUAGUUAGUGCAAGCAUACUUAGCAAUCAUUGCUAGACAAGACUACGCCCAUGCAUAGUGAUAUUAGCAAGGAAUAUGAGAAACAUAGCAAUCACUCCCCUGUAAUAAUGUUGCUCUGCCAGCCCAAUACACGAGAGGGGGACUAUAUAAGAAUCAAUGAAGCUGUCACUAUCACGAACUACCCCACGAUCUGGCAUAUUGGGUACAAUCGCAGAUAAAUACGGUAUAAGCACCACGCCUACACAAUAUCUAUCAUUUACCCAUGGAUCCGAUGGAUAAACGCUAUACGAUCCUAAGCAUGUAUAUAGAUCGUAUCUAACUAAGCCAAGUACAUAACUAUGAUAAACUAAGAACAAUAUAAUCUUGAAUAUAAGCAAGUAGAGCAAAGUCAUAAGCAAUAUAUUGAAGUAGAACAAAGUUAUAUUCAUAAUAUUGAAGAACAAAGAUAAUUAGAAAGCAAUUAGAAGAACAAUUAGAAAAUUACCAAGAAUCCUCCUGACAGAUCCGGAAACCAAUCGAAGAUUGACUCCUUCUAGUUCUAAUCCUAUGUAGCUAUGCUAAUCUAGAUAUCUAAUUGAUGUGGUGGCUCUAAUCUUGAUCAGAGGCUUCUUCUCCCUUGAUGGAACAAUGAAUUAGGGUUGAGAGGCUCUCUCCUCCAGGGGCCAGGGGGUCUGGUUUUAUAGUCCCUUCAAGUGAAUAUGGGUCCUUGGAUCAAACCGACAUAGAUUGUAUGGUUUAGAUUCAUCCUUUAGGUCGGUGGAAAUCUCCCGCGAAGCAGAGUCCUGAUUGGACUCCUGGAGGGGGCGGGCGCCCAGGGCAGGAGGGCGGGCGCCCUGCCUCUGGCCCCGUUUCGCCUCCGCUUCGGUCUCGUGGCUUCUGGAGUCUUCUAGAUGUAAGAUAAUUGCGCAGCACGUUAAUAUCUUUACGUAAUCCUGACAUGUGGGUCUUUCUUCCAUAUUUCCUGAUAACUCCCUGCAGAAAUAGAUAAACACCAAAACUCGUGGAAUUCUGUCAGAUAAAACCCUAAGUCUGGAUCUUGUUUUCAUUUGGAUCCUUUUCUUUAUUUAUUUGACAAUUAAAUUUGAUACUUAAGGACCGUCAACAAACUCCCCCAAGCUUACCUCUUGCUCGUCCCUGAGCAAGGAUAGACUCAGCUAUGGAUCAUAAGUUGCAAUAUUUUAAAAAUUUGACGGUACACAUGCUUUUUAAAUAAGAUCUUAUCUCUGAGUUAGAGUAAACUGUCAAGACUUAAAACUUACUUUACCUCCACUAUGGGACUUGUAGCUGUCACUUCUAUCUUGAGUGGUUAAAAGAUAGAACAGUCUAGCCAAGUGCCAUGUCUCUUAUUCUUGAUCAGCUAUAGCUCUGGGGUUUUUGCAGAUUUUCAAAUAAAACUCAGAAAUUCCUUGUAUGAUUCUCUCAGGUCUCUCUUUUGUGGUAUUUCUGGAUCCUUACCAAGGCAGUGAUGGUAUAUGCCUUCUCUCAAGAUAUGUGGUAUUUGUGGUAUGAGGCAUAGUGACAUUGCCUUCUCUCUCUCACCCUACUCUAAUAAGGCUUUAAUAUCUGGAGCUCAUAGGGGGGAGAUAAGGUAUACAUACUUACAAGACAUUUAUUGUAUAGUCAAACCAUGGAUCCAAAGUAACAAGUCAAUAAGUUUAAUCAAGAUGUGCAUGUGUGGCGAAUGAAUGGUGUAUGGUGAUGAUAACAAUGGUGAAAAUAAUGGUGGUGGAAGUCUAAUUCUACUUUGCUCUUUAAGGGGAUACAUACCUUCCUUGCUUUUGAAACUUUAUGAUGAGAAUGAGAUGCUCUAUCUUUUUUUCUUUUCUCUCAGGUGGGUAUAUUGUACCCCUAAUUCUACUGUCGGACACUUGUCCAUUUUUACCUCUCGUCUCACUUUUUCUUUUCUUUCGAGGUUCCGAGCACUUGCUCCUUUUUAUUUCCUCGUAUUAUUUUUUCUUUUUCUCUCUCUUUUUUUUUCAGAGCAUUCAUCUCUUAAGAUAAUAUAGCAAGUGGUAGUAGCAAGAUAACUUGAGCAUUUAUUUCACAAGGGGAAAACAGAAAUAUUUUUGGUUAUUCUCUCCCGGAUUAGGAGUAGAAUAUUUUUGGGUGGUUUUGGAGAUGGAAAUGAGUGGAUAUAUGUGGAUGGUACUUCCGGAGUAGAAGUAGCAUAUAUGAGUGAACGUGUAAGUGAAAUCUUGAUUUAACCACAUGACAAGCUCCUAAGGGUCUACACAGCUUGACCACACUCAAUGCUCAUAAGCAGUAAAUAAUAAAUGUGUGGCUCAAAGUCUAGCAAGCAUGUAUAUAUGGCUGUGGUAGGAAUUUAAACUCUCAUCAUACAGGAACUCAUCAUGCAACAUUUUAAAGAUUUUCAAAGAUAAAAUUCUCCAGAAUUCUAGCAUCUCUAGGAACAGAUAAACAGCAGCUCAACCUUCCCAUAUCGUAUCCGUUAACAACUUAGACUUCAGAUCAAGUUUUCAUCCCACAAGUUUAGGUCUAGAGCAAGCUUUAAAUUAUAACAGUUAUAUCUAAACUUGAGAGAAAACUUAAAAUGUGCAAAUUAGGCGGAGCAACUAUUCAUCAUAUCCAUGCUUAAGUUUUAUUUAGAUAUAGAUUAGCAUAGCCACUUUAUUUAUUUAUUAAACACACUAAGCAAAAUAUAUAUAAGCAUAAACUCUUUAUUUGGUUUUUCAUAGUUUAUGUGUAUUUAUAUUCUAAAAUAAUAUAAGUAUAAAGAUAGAUAGAUAGAAAUACUUAUCGGGAUAAAUGGGGGUGCUCUCCCCCAAGCUGAAUUUUGACGUAAUUUCUCUUGAUGUAGCUAACAGGUGGCAGAGGUGUAUUUGAAAGUCAGCAGCAUUCUGACAGCGAUUAGAAUGUCCUCCGUCUGCUAGUCUUCUUGAUUCUUAAAUUCUGUGGAUCUCAAAUAGACAACAAAGCUUGUGGAACUGAUUAAGUGUUAGCAUAAAUAUCUAGCCUUUAUUAUCUUGAGACUCCUUAAUAAAUUUUACUCCCUGUUUUUAUAUUUUUGUUUUUAUAAAGCAGAAAAAUAUUUAUUUUAUUUUUACGCCACCACAGUGAAUGUACUUAUGGGUUUUAUGCCACUCGUCUACUCACAUGGGGCUUAUUGUUUUUCACAUUUUUAUUUUCUUUUUAAGACAGCAUGAGCAUUUUUAACUAAGUAAACUAUUUAAAAUAACUGAAAGGGAAAGGGUAACUACCAAGUUUACCUCUUGGCAAGGCGUUCGGUGUUUUUAAGUCCUCCGAACGGGACUCUCCAAUUUCUUAAUCGUCCUGAGGUUCGUUGGGUGGCGUAGUCGGUACUUCCGGCAGCGCCUCCUCUUCUUGUAUAGUUAUCUUCAUUUUCCACACCUGACUUGGUGCUUCAAUCUCCUCUGGAUAAUUCUGUUUAAACUCAACGUCUUCUGACCUUACAACUUCUCCUUCAUAGUCUGCCCAUCCAUCCUGGACGAUCUGCCUCCUCUGGUUGCGGUUGCGUCUCUUUCUGACCUGCUUAAAUUCGUCAACGAUAUAGUUAGGGUCAGUAAAAUAACGACGUACCUUCUCUGAGGGGAAGUGCAUAUGGACUUCUCCGGGUCCAAUGUAGAUAAUUGCUUUAACGGUGCUGAGGAACGGUCUUCCAAGGAUGAUGGGUGGAUCGUACUCGUCUUCUCCCAUGUCAACAACUUGAAAGUCAGUGUAGACAAAGUGAUCGUCUAUUUUGACUGGGACAUCAGAUACUAUUCCUUUGACUUCUCGAAAUGUCUGAUCUGCCAUCUGGAGUUGAAUGUAAGUUGGUCUUAGUGGCAUGGUCCCGAAUAAGAGUCGAUAGGUGACAGCGGCCAUUAUGUUGACGCCCGAUCCGGUGUCGCAAAUUGUCUUGUAGAAGUUGUAUCCAUUUAUGGAGCAGUAGAUGCUUGGCAUUCCUGGGUCGUCCUUCUUGGUCAAGAACGGUGACUUAAGUUGGUGAUCUUGGCCUCCAUGGACUACAGUGACCAUCUUAGCUGACUCGGUCCACACUUGCUUGUUCCUGUUUCUCCUGUUGGUCCUCUUCCUUGAUUUACGUCUGGAUUGAUCUUGAAUUUGUGUAGUCUUGUUCUUGAAGAAAAAUAUCUCCUUCUUCCCUUUGACGUAGAAACUGAUCUUGGCAGCACUGGCGUAGAUGAUAGCUCCCGUGGUGUUCAAGAAUGGCCUUCCUAGGAUGAUAGGUGCUCUCUCAUCAUUUCCGGUCUCUACCACUACGAAGUCUGCUGGGGCAUAUAAGGUACCAACUCGGACACAAAGGUUCCUCACGAUUCCUUUUGGAAAUGUUAUCGUCUGAUCUGCAAACUGCAAACACAUGGUUGUCUCUAAUAAAGGAUAUGUAAAGAAUUU
rnacentral:lncRNA from 1 species